rnacentral:lncRNA from 1 species
UCAUUGUCAUUUCAAUUCUACAUCCUCCCCAGCGAACACCACCUUCACCAAAAGCUAGUUUAGAAAUGCAUGCAGGAGAAAAAUAUGUGAUAUAUAUCAGUGUAGCCUUCGCCUCUAGUUCUGUCCGAUUAUUUAAUCACACUUGUAGAUUAUUUGCAUCCAUAAACGAGCUACAAUUUACUACCUUAUAAUUUCCACUACUGCCCAUUUAAUUCGCACUUUCUCAGAAGAAUGGUCUCUCGAUCAUUUUUACUGUGGUUUCAGCCCAUUAAAAUCUUUCAAUACAAAACGAGCUAAGUGAUUGAAACUCAGUCGCCAAAAGCAUCAAAGCUUCGACCACAGUAGCAUGUUGUGUGUGUCUGUUCAGGAGCUAGAGAAGAGAGGAAAUUAGAGAACCUUGAGCUAGAAUAAUGGAAGAGUUUUCCAGUGGCAGAAAAAACAAUAAGGGCAACCUCAGCAUCACAAAGUGUAGAGAGUUCUUGAGCCUUCUUACAAACCCCUCUUCUUCUCUUUGAAAAGGUCACUUGGCGUGCCGUCAAGUUAUCAAUCUUCUUGAUCUGAAUCUUCUCUCUCACCAUUUUCACCGUACACUCACUGCGAAAAUAAUAAUAAUAAUAAUAAUAAUAAUAAUAAUAAUAAUAAUAAUAAUAAUUCAGCUUUUUUUGUACAAAAUAAAAAUCUUCAACAGUGUAACAUUUACAAAUUCAAGGAAGAAGAGAUGAUAACCUCCACCAGGAGAAGUGAAACCCUAAGGAGAGAGAGUAGAAAGCAUCUGAAAUUCGAAACCAGCUGAAGUGGCAGAGAAUAAAGUGGGGAGAGAGAGAGAGAGCGCGAGGGGUGUACACUUACAGUUUACUGUAGAGGGAGGGAGGGAGAGAGAGGGGUCUACAGUUUACUGUAAUUGCCCUUAUGGGACCAUAAAACUGGACACUCCAAUGGAUAUAUCGGGUUCGACAUGAUCCGGUUCGGUUCGAUUCUAACGAGAAUCGAAUCGAUCCGAAAUUUUCGAGUAUUUAGUAAGUGGAAUCGUCGGAUUCAAAUUUAAUUAUGAAACCGUUCGGGUUCAGUUUCAUUUGAUUCGAUUCGAUUCGGUCCGGUUUGAUUCCAUUCGGUUCCGCAUUAUAAUUAAAUUUUUUAAUAUAUACAAAGUUACAUUAAUUUAAUUAAUGAUAUGUUCAAUAUUAGCUCUUACAAAAUAACGUAGUCCAAUCUUAUGUGUCUUUUACGUUUCUCUUUACUGAAUUCUACAUAAAUUUAAUCAUUAAAAUCGCAGGAAGAGAAAGAUAGUAAGCUCAAAGUAAUUAAGAGAGAUAUUGUAGAGUUUUAAUUCGAUUUUCUCCAGUAGAAACGACACUAUUGAGGUCAAUUUGAUUAAAUUGAUUUUGAACUGAAAAUUAGAAAUAGAAAAAUCAUAUUUUGUGGUUUGAACUAAAUUAACUAGUUAACAAAUUUAUUUAGAAAAAAUAAAAUAAUUUUGCUUAUUUAAAAUAAAUAAAUUAAAAAAAUUAAAGAGAUUCGAUUCUUCAGGUCUUGGCCUAGAACGAAAGACAAACCGUACCCGUUGAUUCUUGAUUCAAAUAUCCGUUCGGGUAUUUUAUUUGAGAAGAACCAUCGGGUUCGGUUCGGUUCGGGAGUUUUGUUCAGUCUUAUGGAUAUAUACAUACACCUGUUUUCGAGUGUGCCAACCAAUUAUGUGUGCACGUAAAGAAAUAAAAACGGAUACUUUACAUUAUAUAAUUAAAUUUAGCUUAUUAAUUCUUUCAAAAAUGUUAUAAACUGAUAUUAUAUUUAACUGCAAUUGUAAUAUUCUAUAUCUACUUUUACAUUAAAAAAAAAUUUCACUUCAAGAAUAAUCGAAAUAAUUUGAUCAUGCGUGCACCAAGUUUAGUUGAUUGGAGAAAGAUAAGAGUCUCGAUAUGUUGGCAAUUGCGUCUAAACAUGACUCUUAACGAAAUAUAUGAUGUAAAAUGCUAUAAUUGUCAAAUUAAUAAAAAUGACAUUUUUUUUUAUCGAAGUAGCCUUUCCAUAAUUGAAAAAAAAAAUGUAUUUAACAUAAAAAAUAAAAAUAAAAAUAAAAAAUUGCCAUAGCCAAAUUCUUGUUCAAAAAUUAUUUAUUUUCUCUUCCGUUCUCAUGUUAAGCAUUCAAACUUUCACUUUGAUGUACCUUACAUAAUCUUCCUUGGAAAUCUAGCAAAUCUCAAUUCAAAAACAAAGGAUUUUAAUGUUCGGAUGCCACUUAAAUCCACAACAUGGGCCGUAACACUCAACUCACUUGCACAAGAAUUUAUAACGAUAUCUAGAUAAUUAUAUUCACGCUACAAUUUUUAUUUUUUACAUCACAUUUUAAUUAUAUUUGAGUUCUUGAUCUUUGCUCAUUAUAAAAUUUAUAUCCUUAACAAUUCUUCAUAUCGUUCUUAUUCUUAAAUUUUUCAUUAAUUGACAUCUUUUGUAUCUAAUAACAGUUUUACGUCCAAAAUCCGUCGAAUGGCAUAAAACAACUAAUAUAUUCAUCAUAUUUUUAAAAAAAAUAAAUAAAAAGUGUAAAAAAAAAACAAUUUCCCUCGUUUUAGAGUAUAAAAGCAAAAUAUUUUGAUAUAAAUCAUUAUUAAGAACGAGACAUACUAAUUAAUAGAAUGUUGAAAAUAAGAAUUCGACUUUAAAAAAAUUAAGGAAAUAAUUGUUAUAGUGAGCAAAAAUUAAGGAGUUUAACUAUAAUUAAAAUGUGGUGUAUCAAAUAAAAAUUGUGGUAAUAAUAUAACCACUAUUAAGGAAAACAGACAAUUAUUCUUCUGGGAUGUAGUCUCUUGGCAUCAUCCUUCGUUUGGGCUCAUUAAAAUACGUUUUAGGGGAAAAAUGUAUUUUGAAAUAGAUUUUUUUUGGAAAAAAAAAAAUGUGUAGUUAAGAAAAAAGACACAUUUUGAAUUUACGUAUAAUAAUAUUUUAUUGAAAAAUAUAUAAUUAAAAAGAGGAAAGAGUAAAAUGUAUUUUAAAUAAAAUGGAGAUCAGACAGCCAACAGGGCUUAAUUGGGGAAGGUAAACUACCAAAAUUAACAUCAGCAAACCGUCAAAAAGAAAUGUGACUACACCCUAUGACGACAACACCUUUUUGUGUAAAUUUGAAGUAGGAUACAAGAAUCUAAUGAAAGUUAAGUACCCCAGCCUGAGGAAAGUAUAGAGCAUGGGAAUUGGUGAUACACUUGGAUGAAUUGCUUUGCUCAACGCUGGUGGAGCGAAACCUGCAAAUGUACGAGAACGUUAAUAAAUAAUAAAUUUAGUAAGUUGAAAAUAUCGUGCCACAAAGAAUAAAUUUCAAUUCAAGUUCAUUAGCUUUGUAUUGAAUUUGUAUUAUUGGACACAAAAGAGAUUUUAAUUUUGGCAUUUAAUCCAAAUCAUUCUAAGAAUGUUGUAAAAUUACGAUUUGCAUCAUAUUACGGACGACUGUAUUGGAUUUCGAGUUUGUCUAUUGUUAUAUGAUUCAAUUCUCAAUUACGUAAUCUAGUUUUGUUCAUGCAUUUGACAAUCGAUAAAGUUAAGAUAUAAAACUUUCGUUUCUAAAAUGAAUUAUUUUUAUUUUAAUCACGAACCGAGUCUAUUUCUUCUAUGAAUUUGAAUGAUUAGAACGCAGAUUAUCUAUAUAAUUGCACAUGCAAUAUUGCUAUUCUUAAUAUAUAUUGCUCAUGUGUUAAUCUUAUCGCAUUCUAAACUUAUCGUGAGCUUCUCAACAUUACAACAAGCAACUAACUAUCAAUUGAUGAUAAAGCAACUAGCUAACGUAAUAGAAAUGCAAAAUUAAUCAAUAACACAAGAAAAACUAAAUUAUUGGUUUUGAAUUAAAAUAAAUAAAUAAUAGAGUUCAUCUUCAUCCAAUAAAAAAUGGAUCCAGCAUCACAUGAUUUUAUAUAAAUUAAAAAAAGAAGAAUAAAAAAUAUCACCUAAAUCAUGAAAUAAUUCAAAAAACAUUAAUUUUUAAGUCCAAGAUUGAAUUCUUUAAAUGCGUCUAAUUAGGUUCCAAAAGAGCUUUGUGAAUGUGUUCUAUUUAUAGGUGCCAAACAUUAGGUGAAAAUUACGUCUAAUUGGGUUCCAAAAAGAGUUUGAAUUAAAAAAAAAAAAAAUCAACUUUUUUGAAAAAAUUUGUAGUGUGCCCAAGCGCCGUAUACUUUGUGUGCAGACACAGUAUAACUGAAUUGGCCUUGGGUUUGGGAAUUUAUUGCCUCGGACCUGCGCACCGUGCAAUCCCCGAGCAGUUGUCGAUAUUGUUAUCAUAACUUUCUCUUCUAAUAUUCAAUUGAGGCAAAUUAAAGUACAUUGAAUAGAUAACUCAAAGAUAUACAAUUUUUUAAAGGUAGCAUUUCUCCAAUUCAAAUUUUUACCAUCCAAAAAAUUAGUCUCAAUUCAAAGUUGAAAAUCAAGUAGAACUUGUUUAGUUGGAAAUUGAUUUUAUUUCAAUUUUUCACUUAUUUGACUUCUAGUUGCAUUCAACUGAUCUUAUGUGAUAUUCAAUAAUCGUUUUGUCGUCCGAAUCAACUAAUCGAUGUUUGCACUAUCGUCCCGAACUUCGAAUUUCUUCAUUUUCGCCCGAUUCUCAUUAAUUUCUUUCAAUUCUACCAAUUUGAAUUGAAUUCAACCUAAUAAAUAUAAUUAUCAUAUAAUUAUACGAUAAUUCAUCCAAAUUACUAAUAAAUACUCCAAUUAAAUGGCAUAGAUAAAUGUACAAAAUACACUUAUCAAAUACCAUUUUUGAUGCCUUCAGAUUCCUUCAUAAAUGUUCACUAAACAACUUAAGAAAGCAAGAAUUUACUACUGAAUUUCAAUGCACAGGCAGUGCGAGAAAUGGUAUUUAAAAUUUGAAAUAAAAGUCAACUCUCACUUCUACUUCCUGUUUCAACAUGGCGUUUUCUUCCAUUAAUAUAGAUUCCUGCAUAUCACAAAAGUUAACUAAGGCCCCGUUUGGUAGUCAUUUUUUUCAAAAUGCAUUUUCUCUCUCUUCUUUUUAACUACACAUUCUUUAUUAAAAUAAUAUUACGCGUAAAUAAAAAACUUUUUCUUAUUUUUCAACUACACAUUUCACAUCAAUUUACUGUUCUAAAAUACAUUUUUACAUAAAAAUGCCUAUCAAACACCCCUAAAAAUCAAACCCCCUUAGUUGUUUGAUUUUAUACUUUUAUGGGAUUUAUCUCUUAACAAGGACCAGCAUAAUUAUUUUUUCAAUCAAAGGACAAAGUUUGUGGUCUUGCCUUUUUCAUGAGAAAACGAUCUCUUUCAAAAACUUGUCAUUCUUCCCCAAUGAAAGACAUAGAUGUUAGCACAAAGAACACAAUAAGAAACACUCGAAAACACGAAAUAGUGUGUAAUAAAACCUCUGUUUCCACAACAUGGUUUAAUCCUCCUUGUCCCAUUUUCUCUAGUUUCAUCAACUCAUCCAUGUCAAGUCCUUGGAGAUCAUCUCCACUGAGUUUCCUAUUACAAUUACUAUUGUAUCUCAACUGUGCAAUGCACUGCAAUAUGUGUAACAAAAAAUCUUUAAUUUACCUUAACUCACGAGUCUUAUCCUCAAGCAUCUCUGAGCAUGCCAUAGCUAUUAUUUUCCUGAGAAGAAAAUGCAAAUAGGGUUAUCCAAUUAUCACACGCAACCUAAUAAUUUUCUCUUGUAACGAUAUUAUGUUUUGGACGUUAUAUGUGGUGUUUUUGGAUAUACCAAAAGAGUAUCGAGUUUAAAUCUUACUUGAACGACAAAUAUUUUCUUCAACAAGUUAAUUUUUUUUAUUUUAGUUAACUCCAUCCAAAAAUUAAGGAAAAAGAUAUAUAUCCAUAUGACUCCAAGUUACAAACAAAAUAUGACAAAUAAUAUAUGAAUUCCUAGGAUUAUUAUUUCUUUGAGAAGGGAUUAGUCAAUUGGAAAUUAGUUGCUAUCAAGUGCUUGAAUAACUCUAGCUAUUAAACGUGCAAUUUGGUUUUGCCUUGUCUGAACCAAAGACAGCGCCAAUUGAUAACAUUACCCAAUGAAGAAAUUGGACUAUUUAUGAGAUAAUUUGAUACAGGUGGAAGUAUAAAAAAAUAUAAAUACAAAAUUAUAAAAUGGAAUUUGCAUACGAAUUAAUCAUUUAGAUGGAUAGUUAAAAAAAAAAAAAAAGUUCAAGUUUUAAUUCAAUAUUCAAAAUCAAUCAUCCUACAAGAAAAUCAUAACACUAAAUUUGUAGAAAACUCCUAACUAGACUUUUAAAGCAAAACAAACUCUAGAAAAUUUAUCUAUUUUGAUUAAAUUCCUAAUCAAAAUAAAACUCGUAUUAAACAUUAAAUGAUAAAAAAUUAAUUAAUUAAAAACAACAAAAAUUAAAAAAUAAAGUGUUAAAUUAUACGGGUUCCUCUUGCAUCAUUUUUCAUGGAUCCAAGAAGAUUCAUCCUUGAAUCUAUCACUGCUCAUCCAACACCUUGUAGGACGGUGAUUCACUUAAUAUGUCAAUGACGUAAAUGUUUCCGACGUAGCUUAAUUCUAAACUUUAAUUACUAAUAAAAUUUUUCGUUUCUAUUCUAUUGUAUCCCAAUAAAUUCGACCACACAUCCGGAGUUUGCCUUGCAACAUUUUGGAAUUGAGUAACGUUAUUUGCUGUUGCUCAUUGUCGUAGUUGCCCUUUGUGGUAUACAUGUAACGGUUAAUGAUUUGAUACAUUAAUAUGAUAUUUUUUUUAUUGCUUUAUACAUCAAGUCACUAAUUGUUACAUGUAUGCAACGUAAGGCGAUUACAAUAAUGAGCAAUUGAUUACAAAUAACAUUAUUUUUUGAUAUUUCCAAAUGUUUCUUGAUGUGUUUUUUAUCUUAAGACAUUCAAUCAGCGACCUUCUAAUGCAAACUGACCAUUUAAGUGUGAAAAUAUUCAUUUGCAUAAUUACGGUUUCAACUUUUCCAACUGCCAUAAUUUUGUGGUGGUCAUCGACUCACAUUGAAAAUUGAUAUUCAAAGUCAGUAUAUUGAUCCAAGUCAAGUAUCUCAAACUUCUUCUCGAGAAUCCUGAUAUUAGUUUCCUCGAAGAACGAUAAAUUUGUGUUGGACUUCAUCUUAACAUCGUUCAACAAUCUGAAUUCCCAGUCCUCUCAAGGUUGCUCACCAAUCCCAUAACCAACAUCGGCUCCUCAAUUGCCGGAACUCUCUCCAUAUUCGAGCUUUCCAUUUGCAACUCUAUCUAUACUUAGGCUCGCAACUAGACCCACAAUUGCCCCACCCUCAUGCAGUUGCGACCUCCACUUCGUGCCUCUAGUCCAUGGCCGUAAAGGUUACCCACCAUCUCUUGUAGAGGGAUAGUCAAUCUAGCCACCUUUUUUGCCAAGACCUCAAGACGUUGAUUUGUAUUAGUUUCAUUUCUAAGAUUCCAAUUGUCAACCAUGACUUGUAACUUGUCUCCUUGAUCAGUUGUUAGCAGCAUAACGUGGGCUAUGAUACAAACUCAUUUAGGCAGAAGUGUAAUCUAUACGAAAUACGGGGAUUAUAAAAGAAAAUACACGCAUGAAUUACCCAUUUAGGUGGAUAAUUGAAGAAAAAUCUCAAACUUUCUGCUCACAUCCAAAAUCAAUCAUCCUACAACACAAAUAUAAAACAAAAUUUAUAUAAAACUACGACUUGCCUUUUAAGCAAAACAAACUCUAGAGAACUUACUAGUUUGAUUAAACUCUUAAUCCGAAUAAAACUCCUACUAAACAUAAAAAAUUACAAAAGACUAAUUAAUUAUUAUUAUUAUUAUUAUUAAUUAAUCAAUAAGAUAUUAAAUAAAACGGGACUACUUGCAUUAUAGAUUUAUACCUAUGGAGUAAUUACAAUCAAACAUAAAUCUACAUUUAAUGAGCUGGCAACAAUCUUGUUUGCAAUAUUUGAACUCAUACGGUACUAUUUCAAAUUGACUGCAUUAAUUCGAUGUCGAAGUCCUUAUUCAUCUUUAUUUCCUUGUUAUAAUGUAAGUAUAUACAGUAUAAACACGAACAAUGAAUUUAUUGCAUCAUGCAGAAGAACAAAACGAGAAGAAACCAUGUUUUCAACUAAUUAAACUAGGGGAAGAGGAAAUCAAAAUCAUACAUUUUAUACAUAGAAUGCUUGUUGGGUACCUGAUAAAGAACUGAGCAUUAUUGAAUACGCCUUUGGUACCCAAUAUGGAGCUCAAUAGUAUGACUUCAUUGUUUCUACUUUAUUAUUUCAGGUGCCAACAAGAAUUAUAGGGACUUUAUUUGUGUGUACAAGUAUGAAGAACUUCUUGUUGGAGGAAAGAUGGGUUUACUAACUUGGAUUGGUUAAGGCUUUUAAGAGGACAACACUAAUAGAAAGAAGAAAGUGAAAAAAGAAACUUGUAUUUCUCAAAUUCAAGACUUUACACACUUUUUGGCUUGUUACAAAAUGGAGGGCACUACCCCUUUAUAUAGUAUUUACAAGAAGAUUCUAGUCCACACAUUUUCUAAAGACACCUAGACCACAUAUCAAGAUAUUUUCCUAGAAUUCUCUAGAUAUUCUUUAUAAAACUACAUAUCUUACUUAAAUAUUUAUAUAGAUUUUUCUAGUAGAUAUUUAUAUAGAUUUUUCUAGAUAAUGCUUCUAGAAAUGCUAUGCAUGUUGGGCCUUUUAAUUGAUUUGGGCCUAUAAGCAAAAUCCUUAAGCCCAUAUUAUUUAGUCCAAAAAUCAAGUUUACUACUCAACAUCCCCCCUUAAACUUGAUUUUGCUACUCCAAGUAGAGUUCUUAACUUACGGAACACAUCAUGCUUGAGUGGCUUAGUGAGAAUGUCGGCGAUCUUCUCCUGGGAGGUUACAUAUUUUAGCUGCACUUCUUUCUUUGCAAUGCUUUCUCUUAUGAAGUGAUAUCUUGUAUCAAUGUGCUUGCUUCUAUCAUGGAAUACUGGGUUCUUUGCCAAUGCCAAUGCCAAUGCCAAUGCCAAUGCCGAUUUGUUAUCAACAUGGAUUUCGAUUGGCUCUUCUUCUGAUACUCCAAGCGUCUUCAACAAGUUUUUAAGUCAAAUCGCAUGGCAGACACUUGAUGUAGCUGCAACAUAUUCAGCUUCACAUGUAGAUAGUGCUACGAUCGAUUGCUUCUUUGAGCUCCAAGUGAAAGCUGUGUCGCCCAAGUAAAACACGUACCCAGUAGUACUCUUUCUAUCAUCACUAUCUCCGUCCCAAUCGCUGUCACUAUAUCCAACAAGUUUGAACUCAUUAGAUGAUGAAUAGACUAAACCAUAAUCAAGCGUACCUUUGAUGUAGCGAAGAAUUCUCUUUGCAGUUUUUAUAUGGGUCAUGGUAGGUGUCUCCAUAUAGCGACUAAUGAGCCAACUCCAAAAAGGAUAUCUGGUCUUGUGCACGUCAAAUAUCUUAGACUUCCAACAAGGCUCUUAAAAAGUGUUGGAUUUACUUUUUCAACUUCAUCAUUCUUCGACAACUUGAUUCCGCAUUCGACGGGGGUGCAUACGGGCUUACAGUCCUCCAUAUUGAAUUUCUUUAGAAUUUCUUUUGCAUAUCCUUCUUGUGAGAUGAAAAUGCAGUCCUCCAUUUGCUUUACCUCUAUCCCAAGAUAGUAGGCCAUGUGGCCGAUAUCCGUCAUCUCAAAUUCUUGAGCCAUGACCUUUUUAAACUCAGUGAUCAUACUUUGAUUAUUUCCUAUAAAUAUAAGAUCAUCUACAUACAAACAAACAAGCAAAAUAUCUCCUUUCUCAUUUACCUUUGUAUAAAGGGCAUAUUCGUGAAGGCAUUUUGUGAAGUUAUUUUCUAGAAAAUACUUGUCAAUUCUACUAUUCCAUGCCCUUGGAGCCUGUUUCAACCCAUAUAAAGCCUUUUUUAGUUUCAAGACUUUACCUUCAUGUCCUUUAACUUUAUAACCCAUUGGUUGCUCCACAUAGAUUUCUUCUUCGAGAUAACCAUUUAGAAAAGCUAAUUUCACGUCCAUUUGAAAUAUCUUCGACUUAUUUUGCGCUGCAAGAGAAAUAAUUAAUCUUAUGGUUUCUAAACGAGUAACAGGAGCAAAUACCUCUUCAUAAUCAAUUCCCGACCAUUGGUUGUAACCUUUGGCAACCAAUCUUGCUUUGUAUCUUUCUACGUCUCCUUUAGCGUUUUUCUUUGCAUUGUACUUAACUCCGAUUGCUCUCUUUCCUUUGGGAAGAGUUGUCAGCUCCCACGUGUCAUUUUUCUUUAUAGCCUUAAUCUCUUCAUCCAUAGCAUCUCUCCAUCUUUUAUUUUGCACCGCAUCUUCAUACCCUAUUGGUUUACAAUCGACAAAAAGACAAAAAAGUGUGAGAUUAUUUUGAUUUUCGAUUACCUCAUAUAGCUCUUGUAGGCUCCUCAUCCGUGGUGUCCUUUUGCUUGAACUUUCUCCUUGUGAAGAUAAUGGAGAAGCAUUUCCAUGAGUAGGUGAUAGAGGUGGACUGAUAAUCUCUUGCUGCUCUCCAUUCUUUUGUUCUUCUUCAUAAAAGAAUGAUAAGAAGUCAUAGUCUUCUUCUUGGACACCCCAAUCCCAAGCUCCUUCUUCAUCAAACUCGAAAUCUCUACUUAUGGUGAUCUUCUUAUUGCUUGGAUUAUACAACUUGUAGCCUUUAGAGCGAGAGUCAUAGCCGAUGAAGACAUACCUUUCACUUUUGUCAUCUAACUUGGACCGUUUUUGAUCUGGUACAUGAGCAUAUACAAUGCUCCCAAAUACUCGUAAGUGAGAGAUGCUGGGCUUUCUUCCACUCCAUGCUUCUUGUGGUGUCUUAUUCCACACACUUCUAGAAGGUGAUCGGUUAGACAGAUAAACGGCGCAAUUAACAGUUUCAACCCAAAGUUCUUUGGGCAAUCUCUUACUUUUGAGUAUGCAGCGGGUCAUGUUAAGAAUGGAUCUAUUCUUUCGUUCUGCUACUCCAUUUUGUUGUGGAGAGUAUGGAACCGUCAUUGGACGACGAAUUCCAUUCUUCUCACAAUAUUUCUCAAACUUUUUGGAGGUGAACUCUCCUCCUCUAUCCGAUCUCAAGGCUUUUAUACUAUAUCCGCUUUUUUUUUCAACAAGAGCUUUAAACUUCUUAAAAGUUUCAAAAACUUCCAAUUUUUGUUUAAGAAAAUAGACCCAAAUCUUUCUACUAAAAUCAUCAAUAAAAAGAACAAAAUAAUUGCUCUUACCGAGAGAGCUUGGAUUAAUUAGCCUACAAAUAUCGGAGUGUACAAGUUCUAGCGGCUUCUUAGCUCUUGUAGAUGCUUCUUUUGGAAAACUUUUUCUCGAAUGCUUUCCAAGUAAGCAUCCUUCACAUAAUUGAUCCGCAUGAUUUAUUGGAGGCAAACCUUUCACCAUUUUCUUCUUACUCAGCAACUUUAAGCCUCCAAAAUUAAGAUGCCCAAAUCUCAAGUGCCAAAGCCAAGAUGAAUCUUUAAAACAAGCUUUUAAGCAUUUAGCGACAUCAUUUUGAAUGCUUAACGCAAACAUUUUAUUUCUUGUCAUAGGGACUUUGGCAAUCAAAUUUUCUCUUUGAUCUCUUAUUGAAAGACUAAGAUCUUUCAAAUGAAUAUCAUAACCCUUCUCUAAGAGUCGUCCCAAACUUAAAAUUUUAUUCUUCAUAUUGGGCACAUAAUAGACAUUUGAGAUAAACUGAUGCGUACCAUUUUUUAAGCGGAUCAAGAUUUUACCUUUUCCUUUCACUGGGAUCUUGGAUUCAUCUCCAAAGGUAAUGUUACCGCUUACUGAUUCAUCAAACUCCACAAAUAUGUUUUUUCUUCCACACAUAUGGUUGCUUGCUCUUGUAUCCAAAUACCAAGUAUUCUUUUCUCUGCUCUCUUCACCUUUGUAAGCCAAUAGUAGUGCAGGAUCUACUUCACUUUCCCGACAAGCGUAAUUGGCUUCCUCCUCAACUUGGUUAGUAAUAUUUCUACAUUCUGAAGCAUAAUGACCAAGUUUUUGACAAUUGUAACAUUUAAUUUGAGAUUUGUCAUACCUUGGUCCUUCAUUUUUCCUCGUACCUUUUUCUCUUCCACGACCUCUAGUAGAAAACGAACUUUGUCUUCUUUCCUCCUUGUAGAAUGCAAUUCUUCCUCGAUCUUGACCUCGUCCUCUUCCUCUUUGGCUUCUUCUACUAUUGAACCUUCCUUCACCCUCAUUCAAAGUGAGCUUUGUUUGAAAAGCUUGCUCUAAUGGCUCUUCUUUCACUUUCUUCCUUAAUCUUUCCUCAUGGGCUUGUAAAGAUCCCAUGAGUUGAUCGACACUCAUACUAUCUAGAUCUUUAGAUUCCUCAAUGGCUACAACUAUGUAGUCAAAUUUAGAAUCUAAAGACCUAAGUAUCUUCUCAAUUACUCGAGUGUCGUUCAACUUUUCUCCAUUCCUUUUUAAUUGAUUCACAAUAGCUAAUACUCUAGAGAAGUAAUCAGAAAUUGAUUCCGAUUCUUUCAUAUGUAAAGCUUCAAACUCACCUCGAAGUAUUUGAAGUCGAACCUUUUUCACCUUCUCAACUCCUUUGUGGGAGUUUUGCAAGAUCUCCCAUGCUACCUUACUUGUAGCAGCACAAGUUACUUUCUCGAACAUGCCUUCAUCUAAGGCUUGAUAGAUGAGGGUGAACGCCUUCUUGUCCUUCUUCCUUGCAUCCUUCAAACUAUCCCUUUGUGCUUGGGAUAGAGCAACCUCGUCUUGUGGCUCUGUGUAGCCUUUCUCUACGAUCUCUCAUGCAUCUUGCGACCCGAGCAAUGCUUUCAUCCUUAUACUCCAAUUGUCGUAGUUAUCCUUGUUGAGUUGGGGGACUUGAAAAGGAAUCAUCCCACUUGCCAUAUUUCACAAGAACCUUGGGGCUCUGAUACCAGUUUGUUGGAGGAAAGAUGGGUUUACUAACUUGGAUUGGCUAAGGCUUUUAAGAGAACAACAUUAAUAGGAAGAAGGAAGUGAAAAAGAAAAUUUAUAUUUCUCAAAUUCAAGACUUUACACACUUUUUGGCUUGUUACAAAAUGGAGGGCACUACCCCUUUAUAUAGUGUUUAUAAGAAAAUUCUAGUCCACACAUUUUCUAGAGACACCUAGAACACAUAUCAAGAUAUUUUCCUAGAAUUUUCUAGAUAUUCUUUAUAAAACUACAUAUUUUACUUAGAUAUUUAUAUAGAUUUUUCUAGUAGAUAUUUAUAUAGAUUUUUCUAGAUAAUGCUUUUAGAAAUGCUAUGCAUGUUGGGCCUUUUAAUUGAUUUGGGCCUAUAAGUAAAAUCCUUAAGCCCAUAUUAUUUCGUCCAAAAAUCAAGUUUACUACUCAACACUUCUUAGUACCACUUUGGAAUGUUAGAAUAUAAAAUCCUCGGCCAUUUAAGCUAUGAGGUAUCAUAAAUUAAUGUGUACUCGUAGAUGUCGAAUACUACUUGAAGAUUCUUACAUAGAGAUUUUACAUUCCAUUUAUUGCUGUGAGAUGGUAAAGUUUGAAACUUCAGUAGGUCUAUGUGUUGUUUAAGAAUUAGAAACAACCAAUGGUACUGUGAGAGAUCAUAUCUUAUUGUACAAUAAACCAAAGGAUUUUUUAACCAAUCCAAUCAAGUUCAAGCUGGGAUCAGUAUCUUGUCAAAUGUACGAGGCAUGCAUGCACAAAUUUCAUGGGUGCCUAAAUACUUCAACUUAAGACAUUUUCAUGACAUAGUACCAUUUUAAACAACAUUAUUUUAAAGUUUAAGACAUAUCAAAGAGGAGUAUGCUCUUGAUAAUACAAAUUUGGAUAGGAAAACAGCUAAUUUCUCACAAGUUUUUUAACCUUAGUUAUGCUUAGUUUAAGGAACAAAGCAUGAACCUUAGACAAAAAAAACACAUAAAUCAAGUCAUCUCUCACGAAGGGCGCUUUUCACUCAUGACUAAUGUCCACAGUCCCACCUUGACUCUCAAAUGAACAUAUUCAAUAGCAUUGCCCAUUAUUAAUAUUAAAAUUGAUUCAGAGAAAUGCAGAGGAAAUGCAUUAUUUCAUUAUUCACCAGUGUAAGAUUGACAAGGAUUGUGUACACAUUUGUAGAUAGAAAAUUUGAGCAAUACAUGGUAAGUAAAGCACGUAAGGAAAUUAAACUGUCCAUGGAGAAAGUUUGCUUAAUUCGUGCAGUGAACGUGAUAUGUGCUAAUCUUGCGCUAGAGUUUAGGCAUGUGACUCGUGAUAAACUCUUUCAAGUUGGAAUAUGAAGGUCCAUAAUGCCCAAAUUGGAGUGGAAAAGGUAAAACAAUUCAUGUCCCAAGGGUUUAGUAAAAAUAUCCGCUUGUCUUUCAGAGGUUGAGAUAUAAGGAGUAAGUAGACCAUAAUGAAUCUUCUCGCAUGACGAGAUGACAAUAGAAUUCCAUGUGUGGGAAAAGAUGGAUUUCGAGCUAUGUGAAUGGCUGUCUGGUUGAUAAAUUGAAGAAGAUAGGCUAACGAUGGAGAACCAUGAGAGCUUGCAAGAGAAGAGAAACCUAAAAAAGUUCCCAAGUUGUAGCGUCCAUCGCACACUAUUCAGCUUCAUCCGAAGAGCAGGGAUAGUAGCUUUCUUCUAUGAGCGCCACGACAACUGCAUUUAGAUAAAAAGAGAAGACCAUAACCAGAAGUGGUCUUCAAAUAGCAAAGCAUACAAAGAGCAGCUAGAUGAUGAGGCUCAUAAGGAGCAUGCGCGAACUGACUUAAAAUAUUGACAACAAAGGUUAUAUGUGGCUGGAAAAUGGUUAAAUAGAUCAAACCCUAACUAAUCGUCGAUAUGAGCUGGGAUCUUCCUUCCAUGAAGUCACCAUCCAAGUUAUUAAGUUUACAGUGUUAUUCCAUGGGAAAGUAUGCAAAAUGAUAGCCUAGUUGACCAGAAUCAAAGAGACUGCCCAAUAAAAAAGUUGUCGGUAGGAAACCUAGCAACCUCAAUCCCAAGAAAAUACUUGAGGUCAGCAAGGUCUUUAAUCUUGAAGGCCUUUACAAGUGUUGUUUGAUGGAAUUGAUGGCAGAUAGGUCAUUCCCAGAAACCAAAAUGUCAACAUAGAUAAGGAUGAUAAUAAAUACCUUGCUCUAGAUUUUGAUCACAAGACUAUGAUCAGCUAAGGAUUGGCCAGAACCUGCAAGAGUGAGGACCAUAAGAUGGUUUCAAGUAACAUUGGUGAGGUUUGCUUAAGGCCACAUAGAGAUUUGUGGAUACGACAUACACGCAUCUCUCCCUUAACAACAAUAUCUUGAUAUCUUGGUGGAGUUGCAUAUAUACUUCUUCAUCAAGGUCACCAUGGACGAAAGCAUUGUAAACGUUCAACUGCUGAAUAAUCUAAUGUUUGUCUACAAUUGUAGCAAGAAGACAACAAAUAAUAACAAGUUUAGACACGAGCAAACGUACCGUGAUAAUCAGGGCUCUCUACAAGAGUAAAAUCAUUGGCAACUAAACAAACUUUAUUGCGUUCAAUGGAACCAUAUGCAUGCAAUUUUAUUUUGUAGAUCCAUUUACAACCAAUAGCCUCUUACCAGGAGAAAGAGUUUCAAGAGUACAAGUAUGAUUAACCUAUACAACUUGUAUUUUGGAAGUCAUCGCCUCUUGCUAAUGAGGCUCAAAGACAGCUCGAGAGUAGAUGAAGGACCUUGAACAUUUUUGGAGAAGUACGAGAGAAAAGCAAAGUGAUUAUGACUAAAGAAACAAUAAGAUAUAAAAUUGGGUAAAGAAUAAACCAUACCUGAGAAGGGCUCUGGACAAGGUGGUGAAUGUGAGUCCUCCAAAGGUAAGUUUAAGCAAAUAUAAUCCUAAAGAUAUGUGGGACGAUUGACAGUGCAACAAGGUCUUGAUAGUGGGGUAGGAAUAUAAUAAGUUCAGGUGAAUUGCCAAGAAGGUCAUAAUCUAGUAGUAAGGGUAAACACUGUAAUUUUGUGGGAUUUGAAAAGCCUAGGAAUAUGCAUAAUGCAGAAUGAGAGGAAAAUUUGUCUCUGUGAACAUUUAAAGUGUGCACAUAGCAAAAAUAUCCAAAAACAUGAACGUGAUUACAAGUAGGGUUUUCCAGAAAAGAAGGUCAGAAGGGGUUUUGUAAUUGAGAGAGGGGAAUGGUGAACAAUUAAUUAAAUAAGUAGCAGUAAGUAUGCAUUUACUCCAAAAGAAAAUACGUAAAUGUACAUGAAAACGAAAACAUCAACCCAUAAUAAUAGAUGAGAAUGCUUUCAUUCAAUUCACUAUUUCGCUGUGAUGUCUUAACAUAAGUUCGCUCAAGAAGGAUGCAAUGAUCAAGAAAAAAAUUUCAUGUAAAGGAAUUCUCGACCAUUAUCACAGCGAACAUUUUAGAUAAAACAAUUAAAUUGUAUGUGCGCCAUUUUAAUAAAGGCAGCAAGAGGUAAACCCAAAUGUAUGAGAUAAACCCAAAUAAAACUUGAGAAAUCCACAAUUAUAAUAAUGGAAUGUGCACCAAUUGUAGAGGGCAUAGAAUAUCCACGCCAAAUAUCGCAAUAAAUACGAUUAAAAAUAAAAGUAAUUUUAUUCUCAAUCAAUUUAAAAGGAAUGCGUAUAUGUUUGCCUGAGAUUCAAAUAUCAUAAUGUUUAAUGUUAUUCAAUGUACACAGAUUUUGGAAUGUAAGAAUUUGAAGGAUGCCGUAAGCGGAGAUGCCAUAGAUCGGGAUUGGGAGUAGGCUUGAGUUUAUUGAGAAAAAGGCUUGAGUUUAUUGAGGCCUCCACAUUCUUCACCCAAUCCAAUUAGCUUCCACACUUGUUGGUCCUCGAAAAGUCAAAAGAAGGGAGAAAAAUUGACGACAUAAUUGGACAUUCUAGUAAGUUGGCUUGCAUAAAUUAAAUUGUAUUGAAGCCAGAAACAAAAAGCACAUUAGAAACGAUAAACAAGGAAAAAGGAGAACUUGUUCUGUAUGAGUAACCUAGUCUAUGGCACCUGUGGGCAAGUGAUUGAGAAUGAGGAGAUGUGUCUCUGGGCAAGUUGGAAAUACAAGAAAUAUGGGAAAAAGCCCUAGCGUCAAUAACCCAUUGUAUAUCGACGGUGAUAGAUUCAGGAUUGUUGUUGAGCUAAGACGAUCGUUGACUAUCAAUUAAGGUUGUUCAUUUAUAUUUAAUUAAAUAAUAUUAAAUAUACUUCAAUCAAUAUAUAAAUACACUAAAAUGUAAUUGUGCUAGAAGAACUAGGUAGGGACUUUCAUUUCGGUUGAAAAAAUCUUUCUAUAAUUUGUACAAAAAUUAAGCAUAAAUCACCGAUUAAAUAUAAAUUAAACUUAAUUUUAAACUACGAUCAAUUUUAAAUUUCCAAUUUUCAACACCAAAUUAUCAUUUAUCACAAAUUCACAAAUUCUCCAAUGUUCAUAAAUUAUAAAUCAUCAUUCAUUACAGUUCAUAUAUAAGAGAGCUCACAGACUCACAGUCACCGUGUCACAGACGCCAGCGGCAAACAGUGGCGGUUCAACGGAGGGUUCGACGGAGGCUCACAGUCACUAAAGGUUGACAAUCACGGUUGGACCACAGUUGGCUAAGGCGGGACUGUAGGGAGGAGAUACAAGAGAUAGGGUUUGUUUGCAAUUGCCGUAUUUUGCAUUUGGAAUUCAAUUGGGGUAACAGUUUUAUACGUAUAGUCAAACAGACCAGACAAAUGUUUAAAAUCCUAAAAAAAAUGGCCUAAAACUAAAGGCCCAUUAUUUAAAAAAAAAANNNNNNNNNNNNNNNNNNNNNNNNNNNNNNNNNNNNNNNNNNNNNNNNNNNNNNNNNNNNNNNNNNNNNNNNNNNNNNNNNNNNNNNNNNNNNNNNNNNNNNNNNNNNNNNNNNNNNNNNNNNNNNNNNNNNNNNNNNNNNNNNNNNNNNNNNNNNNNNNNNNNNNNNNNNNNNNNNNNNNNNNNNNNNNNNNNNNNNNNNNNNNNNNNNNNNNNNNNNNNNNNNNNNNNNNNNNNNNNNNNNNNNNNNNNNNNNNNNNNNNNNNNNNNNNNNNNNNNNNNNNNNNNNNNNNNNNNNNNNNNNNNNNNNNNNNNNNNNNNNNNNNNNNNNNNNNNNNNNNNNNNNNNNNNNNNNNNNNNNNNNNNNNNNNNNNNNNNNNNNNNNNNNNNNNNNNNNNNNNNNNNNNNNNNNNNNNNNNNNNNNNNNNNNNNNNNNNNNNNNNNNNNNNNNNNNNNNNNNNNNNNNNNNNNNNNNNNNNNNNNNNNNNNNNNNNNNNNNNNNNNNNNNNNNNNNNNNNNNNNNNNNNNNNNNNNNNNNNNNNNNNNNNNNNNNNNNNNNNNNNNNNNNNNNNNNNNNNNNNNNNNNNNNNNNNNNNNNNNNNNNNNNNNNNNNNNNNNNNNNNNNNNNNNNNNNNNNNNNNNNNNNNNNNNNNNNNNNNNNNNNNNNNNNNNNNNNNNNNNNNNNNNNNNNNNNNNNNNCUUACAAUUGCAAAGACGGAAGCCAUGAGUGGUCGGAGAAUGAGCACUAGCAAUAUCCAUGACAAAUGUCGAGAGUGGGCAGUGAAGGCAUUUGCGGGAGGCGUUACGUUUCUUCUUGAUGUAUAGUGGCAAAAGAUCUGGCACUAAUGGGAAGAGGAUCCAUAGAGAGGAUUUGGCAUCGGAUGUUGAAGAAGGACUCAUUAAGGUCCAUGAGAAGUUGAAAGAGCAUUUCGGAGUUGAUUGUCUCUUCUGCCUUUUUAUGAGCACCAUAUUUACAGGAUCUAGGAUUGGUGAGCAGGGGGAGUUCAUCCCAUGAUCCUUUGAUAGUAUUGUAAUACAGUGUAAUAGACAUGGUGUUCUAUUUGAGAUUAACCAAAUCAUGUUGGAAGCAAUAAAGAUGCGGGUGAUAGCUUUGAGAAAAUCGAUUGUUCAAAUUGAGCCAAACAUCAUAGGGUUGAGAACAGUAAAUUAAGCAAUGUCAUAAGGGCUUAUCAAUGGAGUUGAAGAGCUAAGAGAUGACCAUAUCACUGCAACGAUCCCAGAGGGUAGCAAUCUGAGUGUUUCCAGGCAGCAUAGUUGUCCAGUAAGGAGAUCGGGAACUAGCACAGCACCAGAUUAUCAGAAGGGGUUAAGAAAUAUGGGGAGGGAAGGUCAUUGAUCAAUUGUGAAGGUGUGGAAGAUGUGGAAUCAGACACGGUGGAGGUCGGGUUUGGUUUUACGGAAGCUAGAACAGGCCGCAGUGAACAUGUAUUACUAUGCCAUAUUAAAAUUGAUACAAAGAAAUGCACAGGGAAUGCAGUAUUUCAUUAUUCACUAGUGUAUGAUUUACACGGAUUUCUUACAUAUUUGAACAUUGAAACUUGAGUUAUACAUGGUAAGUAAAUCAUCUAAGGAAAUUAAACUGUACAUGGAGAAAGUUUGCUUUAUUUUGUGCAAUGAACGUGAUUUGUGCUAAUUUUGUGUUGGAGUUUAUCCAUGUGACUCAUAAUAAUUAAUGAUCAAAAUAUUUGUUGAAAACACCACGUUAUACUAGAAUACUUUUAAUUUUUUUCUGCCAUCCUAGUAUUCACAUCAUCACCAAAAGCUAGUUUACAAACACCAUUUGCCCCUAGUAUUGUUCAAUUCUUUAUCACACUUGAAGAUUAUUUGCAUCCAUAUCCGAGCUACAAUUCUCUACCUCGUAAUUUCCAUUACUGCCCAUUUAAUUCGUACCUUUUCAAUAUAAGUUUUCUGUGGUUUUAUCCCAUUAAAAUCUUUAGUUUUCAAUACAAAACUAGCUAAGUGAUUAAAACUCAGUAGCCAAAAGCAUCAAAGCUUCGACCCCAGUAGCAUGAUAUGUAUGUGUUCAAGAGAGAGGAGAGGAAAUUAGAAAACCUUGAGCAAGAACAAUGGAAGACUUUUCUAGUGCAGAAAAAAUAAUUAGGGCAAUCUCAGCAUCACAAAGAGUAGAGGGUUCUUGAGUCUUCUUGAAAACCCCUCUUCUCUUCAAUAAUGUCACUUGGAGUUGGUGUGCCGUCAAGUUAUCAAUCUUCUUGAUCUGAAUCUUCUUUCUCGCCAUUUUCACUGUACACUCACUCCAAACAAAUAUUAUAUGUCGUUAGAACAAUAAGAAAUAUAUAGAGAUCGAGGGAUGAGAAAGAACAUUGGUCUUUGAUAAAAAUAAGGAACAAAGAAACAUAGCAACCCCAAAAAAUAUGGAAAUAACAGUUAGAAGAAUCAUUAAUUUUUGGCAUAAAAUAAAAAUCUUCAACGGUAUCACAUUUACUAAUUCAGGGAAGAAAUGAGAAUAUCCACCUGCAGAACUGAAACCCUAGAAAGAGAAGGUAGGGAGCAUCUGAAAUCAGAAACCAAGUGAAGUGGCACAGAAAAUAUGAAUAAAGUUAGUUUGCAAAUUGCCAAAGGAGUGAAGAGAGCGAGCGAGCGAGCUAGAGGAGUAGGUUUACUGAAAUUACCUUUACGAGACGUUGGUUUUGUUGAACCUUAAAACUAGCCCCACACCUCUGGACAAAAUUCUAUCAAUGAUACUAUAAAUUGUAUAAUUAAUUUAUUUUAUUUGUACAUUACUAAUUACACCAUAUAAUUAAUUUGAUUUUAUUAAUUAUUUUAACAGUUAUAAACUUAUAUUAAAUUCAACUGAAUUGUAAUAUUUGAACCUACUUUAUCUUAAAUAAAAUAAUACAAAAUCCCCUCCUAGAAUAAUCGAAAUAAAUAAAGCCUAAAUAUUCAUGGACUAAGUUCUUGAGUUGAUUGGAGAAGGAUAAGAAUGCGGAUAUGUUGGCAAUUGCAUCUAGCCAUGAUAUUAUAUAUCGAAAAUGCUUUAACUGUCAAAUUUUAAAAAAAAAAAAAGGAAAUUUUUAUUGAAGUAAUCUUUCCUUAAUAGAAAAUAUAAAAUAUCCAUUUUUUUUUAUUUCUUAUUUUUUUAAAAUCACCCAACUGAACGUACUAAAAUUUGAGUUCACCACUGCUCAAAAACUAGCACAUUAUCGUCUUCAAUUUCAUGCCAAGUAAACAAAAUUCUACUUUUAUGUACCUCAUAUAAUUUCCUUGGAUACGUAUGAUAUCAAUAGCAAAUUCAAACGGAAAGCAAAUGUCAGAAGUCACGUAAAUCCACAACAUUAAUUGGCCCUUAACACUCAACUCCCUUGCAAAAGAAUUUAUAAUACAUCCUAUUGAGAAAAAUAGACAAUUUCAGUAGGAGAAAGGUAAGUUGCCAAAAUUAACAUAAGCAUACAGUCAAAAAGAUAUGAGACUACACCCUACUACUACCAUGCUUUUCAGUGUAACUUUGAAUUAGGUUAGAUGAAUCUAAUGAACAUUUCGGUUAACGUCUGAAUAAUCAGAAAUCCUAUCUAUUUAUUUUUAUUUUUUUACCAUAAAAAUACGAACUAAAGAGUUUUUGUCUCUCCGGAUCAUUAGUUUCUAAGAGGUUAGAAGUAUAUCUUCGCUUGACAGAACGCGAAUGCGCAUUUAUUUGAUCUUGAUCCUUGUGGAACGAAAGUAAGACUAGACUGCAUCUGCACGCCCUCCUAAUAAUAUCUAUAAAUGACUUGAUUUUGGUAAUAGAUGAACAUUACCAUAUGUAAAUUCAGGUGACAGGUGAAUGAUAUACAUCGGUACUAUCAGAGCCAUGAGAAUUGGUGAUAAACUUGGAUGAAUUUCUUGGCUCAAUACCAUGUCCAGUGCCUUCAGAUUUCUGCGUAAACAGUUCACUCAACGACCUUGAGAAUGCAAGAAUUUACGACUGAAUUCCAGUGCAUGCAGUGCGAGAAAUGAUUUAUAAAUUGGAAAAUAAAAUAUCAACUCUCACUUCUGCUUGCUGUUUCAACUUGGCAUUCCUUCCAUUAAUUUCGAUCCCUGCAUGUCAAAAAAGUUAACUAAUUGUUGAGUAGUAAACUUGAUUUUUGGAUCAAACAAUAUGAGCUUAAGGAUUUUGCUUAUAGGCCCAAAUCAAUUAAAAUGCCCAACAUGCAUAGCAUUUCUAGAAGCAUUAUCUAGAAAAAUCUAUAUAAAUAUCUACUAGAAAAAUCUAUAUAAAUAUCUAAGUAAGAUAUGUAGUUUUAUAAAGAAUAUAUAGAGAAUUCUAGGAAAAUAUCUUGAUAUGUGGUCCAGGUGUCUCUAGAAAAUGCGUGGACUAGAAUCUUCUUGUAAACACUAUAUAAAGGGGUAGUGCCCUCCAUUUUGUAAUAAGUCAAAAAGUGUGUAAAGUCUUGAAUUUGAGAAAUACAAGUUUCCUUUUUUCACGACACUCGAGUAAUUGAGAAGAUACUUAGGUCUUUAGAUUCUAAAUUUGACUACAUAGUUGUAGCCAUUGAGGAAUCUAAAGAUCUAAAUAGUAUGAGUGUCGAUCAACUCAUGGGAUCUUUACAAGCUCAUGAGGAAAGACUAAGGAAGAAAGUGAAAGAAGAGCCAUUAGAGCAAACUCUUCAAACAAAACUUACUUUGAACGAGGGUGAAGGAAGGUUCAAUAGUAGAAGAAGCCAAAGUGGAAGAGGACGAGGACGAGGCCAAGAUCGAGGAAGAAUUGCAUUCUACAAGGAGGAAAGAAGACAAAGUUCGUUUUCUACUAGAGGUCGCGGAAGAGAAAAAGGUACGAGGAAAAAUGAAGGACCAAGGUAUGACAAAUCUCAAAUUAAAUGUUAUAAUUGUCAAAAAUUUGGUCAUUAUGCUUCAGAAUGUAGAAAUAUUACUAACUAAGUUGAGGAGAAAGCUAAUUACGCUUGUCGGGAAAGUGAAGUAGAUCCUGCACUACUAUUGGCUUACAAAGGUGAAGAGAGCAGAGAAAAGAAUACUUGGUAUUUGGAUACAGGAGCAAGCAACCAUAUGUGUGGAAGGAAAAACAUGUUUGUGGAGUUUGAUGAAUCAGUAAGCGGUAACAUUACCUUUGGAGAUGAAUCCAAGAUCCCAGUGAAAGGAAAAGGUAAAAUAUUGAUCCGCUUAAAAAAGGUAUGCAUCAGUUUAUCUCAAAUGUCUAUUAUGUGCCCAAUAUGAAGAAUAACAUUUUAAGUUUGAGAUAACUCUUAGAGAAGGGCUAUGAUAUUCAUUUGAAGGAUCAUAGUCUUUCAAUAAGAGAUCAAAGAGAAAAUUUGAUUGCAAAAGUCCCUAUGACAAGAAAUAGAAUGUUUGCGUUAAGCAUUCAAAAUGAUGUCGCUAAAUGCUUAAAAGCUUGUUUUAAAUAUUCAUCUUGGUUUUGGCACUUGAGAUUUGGGCAUCUUAAUUUUGGAGGCUUAAAGUUGUUGAGUAAAAAGAAAAUGGUGAAAGGUUUGCCUCCAAUAAAUCACGCGGAUCAAUUAUGUGAAGGAUGCUUACUUGGAAAGCAUUCGAGAAAAAGUUUUCCAAAAGAAGCAUCUACAAGAGCUAAGAAGCCGCUAGAACUUGUACACUCCGAUGUUUGUGGGCCAAUUAAUCCAAGCUCUCUCGGUAAGAGCAAUUAUUUUGUUCUUUUUAUUGAUGAUUUAAGUAGAAAGACUUGGGUCUAUUUUCUUAAACAAAAAUUGGAAGUUUUUGAAACUUUUAAGAAGUUUAAAGCUCUUGUUGAAAAAGAAAGUGGAUAUAGUAUAAAAGCCUUGAUAUCGGAUAGAGGAGGAGAGUUCACCUCCAAAAAGUUUGAGAAAUAUUGUGAGCAGAAUGGAAUUCGUCGUCCAUUGAUGGUUCCAUACUCUCCACAACAAAAUGGAGUAGCAGAAAGAAAUAAUAGAUCCAUUCUUAACAUGACCCGCUGCAUGCUCAAAAGUAAGAGAUUGCCCAAAGAACUUUGGGCUGAAGCUGUUAAUUGCGCCGUGUAUCUGUCUAACCGAUCACCUUCUAGAAGUGUGUGGAAUAAGACACCACAAGAAGCAUGGAGUGGAAGAAAGCCCAGCAUCUCUCACUUACGAGUAUUUGGGAGCAUUGCAUAUGCUCAUGUACCAGAUCAAAAACGGUCCAAGUUAGAUGACAAAAGUGAAAGGUAUGUCUUCAUCGGCUAUGACUCUCACUCUAAAGGCUACAAGUUGUAUAAUCCAAGCAAUGAGAAGAUCACCAUAAGUAGAGAUGUCGAGUUUGAUGAAGAAGGAGCUUGGGAUUGGGGUGUCCAAGAAGAAGACUAUGACUUCUUACCAUUCUUUUAUGAAGAAGAACAAAAGAAUGGAGAGCAGCAAGAGAUUAUCAGUCCACCUCUAUCACCUACUCAUGGAAAUGCUUCUCCAUCAUCUUCACAAGGAGAAAAUUCAAGCGAAAGGACACCACGGAUGAGGUGCCUAUAAGAGCUAUAUGAGGUAAACGAAAAUCAAAAUGAUCUCACACUUUUUUGUCUUUUUGUCGAUUGUGAACCAAUAGGGUAUGAAGAAGCGGUACAAAAUAAAAGAUGGAGAGAUGCUAUGGAUGAAGAGAUUAAGGCUAUAGAGAAAAAUGACACGUGGGAGCUGACAACUCUUCCCAAAGGAAAGAGAGCAAUCGAAGUUAAGUGGGUGUACAAGGCAAAGAAGAACGCUAAAGGAGACGUAGAAAGAUACAAAGCAAGAUUGGUUGCCAAAGGUUACAACAAACGAUCGGGAAUUGAUUAUGAAGAGGUAUUUGCUCCUGUUGCUCGUUUAGAAACCUUAAGAUUAAUUAUCUCUCUUGCAGCGCAAAAUAAGUGGAAGAUAUUUCAAAUGGACGUGAAAUCAGCUUUUCUAAAUGGUUAUCUCGAAGAAGAAAUCUAUGUGGAGCAACCAAUGGGCUAUAAAGUAAAAGGACAUGAAGGUAAAGUCUUGAAACUAAAAAAGGCUUUAUAUGGGUUGAAACAAGCUCCAAGGGCAUGGAAUAGUAGAAUUGACAAGUAUUUUCUAGAAAAUAACUUCACAAAAUGCCCUCACGAGUAUGCCCUUUAUACAAAGGUAAAUGAGAAAGGAGAUAUUUUGCUUGUUUGUUUGUAUGUAGAUGAUCUUAUAUUUACAAGAAAUAAUCAAAGUAUGAUCACUGAGUUUAAGAAGGUCAUAGCUCAAGAAUUUGAGAUGACGGAUAUCGGCCACAUGGCCUACUAUCUUGAGAUAGAGGUAAAGCAAAUGGAGGACUGCAUUUUCAUCUCACAAGAAGGAUAUGCAAAAGAAAUUCUAAAGAAAUUCAAUAUGGAGGACUGUAAGCCCGUAUGCACCCUCGUCGAAUGCGGAAUCAAGUUGUCGAAGAAUGAUGAAGGUGAAAAAGUAAAUCCAACACUUUUUAAGAGUCUUUUUGGAAGUCUAAGAUAUUUGACGUGCUCAAGACCAGAUAUCCUUUUUGGAGUUGGGCUCAUUAGUCGCUAUAUGGAGAUACCUACCAUGACCCAUAUGAAAACUGCAAAGAGAAUUCUUCGCUACAUCAAAGGUACGCUUGAUUAUGGCUUAAUCUAUUCAUCAUCUAAUGAGUUCAAACUUGUUGGAUAUAGUGACAGCGAUUGGGGCGGAAAUAGUGAUGAUAGAAAGAGUAUGACUGGGUACGUGUUUUACUUGGGUGACACAGCUUUCACUUGGAGCUCAAAGAAGCAAUCGAUCGUAGCAAUAUCUACAUGUGAAGCUGAAUAUGUUGCAGCUACAUCAAGUGUCUGCCAUGCGAUUUGGCUUAGAAACUUGUUGAAGACGCUUGGAGUAUCACAGGAAGAGCCAAUCGAAAUCCAUGUUGAUAACAAAUCGGCAUUGACAUUGGCAAAGAACCCAGUAUUCCAUGAUAGAAGCAAGCACAUUGAUACAAGAUAUCACUUCAUAAGAGAAAGCAUUGCAAAGAAAGAAGUGCAGCUAAAAUAUGUAACCUCCCAGGAGCAGAUCGCCGACAUUCUCACUAAGCCACUCAAGCAUGAUGUGUUCCGCAAGUUAAGAACUCUACUUGGAGUAGCAAAAUCAAGUUUAAGGGGGGAUGUUGAGUAGUAAACUUGAUUUUUGGAUCAAAUAAUAUGGGCUUAAGGAUUUUGCUUAUAGGCCCAAAUCAGUUAAAAGGCCCAACAUGCAUAGCAUUUCUAGAAGCAUUAUCUAGAAAAAUCUAUAUAAAUAUCUACUAGAAAAAUCUAUAUAAAUAUCUAAGUAAGAUAUGUAGUUUUAUAAAGAAUAUCUAGAGAAUUCUAGGAAAAUAUCUUGAUAUGUGGUCCAGGUGUCUCUAGAAAAUGUGUGGACUAGAAUCUUCUUGUCAACACUAUAUAAAGGGGUAGUGCCCUCCAUUUUGUAACAAGCCAAAAAGUGUGUAAAGUCUUGAAUUUGAGAAAUACAAGUUUCCUUUUUUCACUUCCUUCUUCCUAUUAGUGUUGUCCUCUUAUCAAGCCUUAGUCAAUCCAAGUUAGUAAACCCAUCUUUUCUCCAACACUAAUUAGCUCAAGACCUUAAUUGUUGAUUUCAUCCUUUUUCAGGAUUUAUCUCUUAACAAGAAGCGUGAUUAUUUUUUUCAUCAAAGGAUAAAGUUCGAGUACUUGCAUUUAUCAUGAGCAUACUGAUCUGUUUCAAAAACUGUCCUUCUUCCAUAUUGAGAGACAGAUAUAUUAGCACAAAAAAUCUCAAUGGGUAGCACUAGAAACACGAAAUUGUAUGUAAUAAUACCUUUGUUUCCGCAACACGGUUUAAUCCUCCUUGAUCCAUUUUCUCUAGUUUGAUCAACUCAUCAAUGUCAAGUCCUUGUCUCAACUAUGCAAUGCACUUGAAUACGCAUAACAAUAAAUCUAAAAUUUACAGCUAUGUUUAAAUUUACCUUGACUCAUGGGUCUUAUCCACAGGCAUCUUGCUGAGCAUGUCAUAGCUAUUAUUUUCCUGAGCAAUGUUGAAGAUAUGAAAGAUUAUUCUUCUUAGUUGUGAGAUUAUUUUUCUUAAUAGGUUAAUUUGUGAUUGUCACGCAAUCUUUCCUUUUAAAAUUACUUUUAACACUAUAAAUAGAAUCUUCCAAUUUGUAAUAGUAACACAAGUUUGUUAAAUACAAUAUGUAAUAUUUUCACAUGGUAUCGGAGUGGGUUUGAUCUUGAAUUAGCUUUGCAAUAGUUCCCAUUUUAAACAGCCUAAUGUUGCUCAUCCAAUCAAUAUCACAUUUAACCUCUAUGUCACUCAUGCAACCUCUUAUCAUUUACCUCACUCUAAAAUUAAGAGUUUAUUUGAAAUUGGGAAUCUAAAUUUAGGAAUUCAUAUUGCGAACGCUGGAAACUAAACCAAGAUGUUAAGUCUCGAACCCGUGACCAAUUGAUUAUAUAAGUUGUGCUUCCAAAAUUAUAUUAAAGGCGUGUUUCUGGACUGACACUUUUAUUAGUGGAGACUUUAUACUGGAUCUUGACACAUGGAGCCAUUCUGGUCGUUUGAUCUGCUUCUAGAUGCUUCCAGCUACUUAAGCCUCCAGUGACCACUUGUCUGGCAGUUUUGGAGAGAUAUUUUCUUGGUUUUGAGUUGGUCUCUUUGUGCUCUCUUUCUCUAUGAAGAACUCCUUCAUCUUUGUGAUUAGGGUUCGAUUUUCUUGAGUAUUUCAGCAUAUAAACUAGUGAAAACCCUUUGUAAUACUAUAGACCUUUGUAGUGGUGUGCUACUAUGUGUUGGUUUAGGAGAAUCUAAGUGAUUCUUGUGAGAGAAGUUCGGGUUUUCUGGAGAUCUUACGGGGCUAAGUUGAUUCCUUCGUGGAUUCGAAGUUUCCUACAUGGAUCUUGCUGAGAUAUGUCUUAGUGACAUUGUUCUUGUACUUUUCUGGAACUAUCUUGUAUUCUUCUUGUUGAUUUUUGGCUAUUUUAGUGCAAUCGAGCUAAAUCCAUUUAUAAUAGAUGCUCAAUAGGGGAUUAAGCGUUAGAUGUGGUCACCAAACCUUUGGGGCAACAACCGAAAAUUUAUAUUUCUACACUUUACUGUUUAUGAACGGUUUUGUGUAUCUUGGUUAAUUCUUGAAUGGUGCUCGACUUUUUAGUGGCAUCAGAACAACCUGGACUAUUGGAGCUUUGUGAUUUCUUGAUUAAAAUGGAAUCCUGCUUCAAUCUACAGUAAACAUUGCUUUGUGGAAUAUAAGUACUUUCAAAUUCCUUUGGUUUGAUUUUUUCUGCAUUCUAUAAUUAAUAACUCUUUACAGUAGAGUCUCCUGAUUUUUCCCUUGAUUUACUUUGUACUACGAAAUCUCCAAUGCUUGGCCUUUGUCCAAAGACUCUUGAAGUCUUGGGGAUCUGAGAUAACAACACUGUGAGGAGUGCAAUUGGAAGACCUUGCUAGAGAAGUCAGUUGAGUCAUUGGAAUUGAUAUCUUUGCUCUUUGUGAUUCUGUCUCUUAUACUAGGUGUUAAGUAUUUACUGUCUAGAGAAAAUUGUAUAAGUGCAUUGCUAAUUGGCCCCUAAUCUGCAUGCAGUCCCCACAUUGUAUGUCCUUGUGUGUUCUUGAAAUUAAACUUGUGCACUACAUAUUAUCUUGGUGUAUCUUGACAUGGCUACUGCUAAGUUUGAAAUGAACAUGUAUGAUGGAAGAGGGGACUUUAAUAUGUAGAGCCAAAAAAUGAGGGCUAUUUGAUGCAAUUGAAAUGUGCUAAAGCUUUAGAUAAUUCUUAGCUUACUGAAAUGUCUAUUGCUAAAAGAACUAAGUUAGAAGAAAUAGCUUGGAGUACUAUUUUCUUGUGCAUUUUAGACAAUGUGAUCAGGUGUAUAGGAGAAAUUAAAUCUGCUGAAAAAUUAUGGACCAAAUUGAAAGCUCAAUAUGAGCCAAAGACUAUUCCAAACAAAUGUUUUUUGCUAAAACAGUUAUUUUCUUUCAAAAUGGACCCUUCUGUUGACUUGGAUGAGAACUUGGACAGAUUUACAAAAUUGACCCAGGACCUUGCCAACUGUGAUGAAAAACUAUCAGAAGAUUAGCUGGCAGUGGUUUUAUUAAACUCCAUUAGUGAUAGGCAUAUAGACCUCAAAAAUGCCUUAAAAUAUGGAAAAGAUAAGCUUACCACAAAUAUCAUCAUAAAUGCCUUAAAAAAUAGGGUUCUUAAAUUAAAAUAAGAUUCUAUCAACCAACAAAGUGGAGAAAAUCUUUUGUUAAAAGGCAAAAAUAUUGAUAAAUAUAAUUUUCAUUCAAAAUUUCUAAAUGACCCUAAGAAAAUGAACAAUGAUAAAAUGAAAUUCAAAACUAAGGGAAACGGAAAGAAAUGUUAUUAUUGCAGUAAACUGGGUCAUUUUGCUAAGAUUGUUAUAAAAAGCAAAAUGAUUUGAAAGGAAAGAAGCUAUGUGAAGGCAAUACUGUUAUGUCCUAUGAUAAGCAACAAAUGGAUAAUGGCAUGGUUCUUGUAAAUGUUGAAAGAAACCUGAGUCAAGAAUCUAGACUUACAUUGCUCUUUCCACAUGUGCUCUAACAAAGAAAUAAUAAUUAUAAUUAUAAUAAUAAUAAAAUAAAAAAAUAAAAAUUGGACUUUGAUCAAACUAAAGGGGGCCAAGUUAUCAUAGGAAAUAACAUGACCUGUAAAAGUAAAAUGUAUUGGAACAAUAAAAUUUCUUUUGGAAAAUGGCAAAAAUUUUUUUUUUUAAAAGGUUGUUAGAUUUGUUUCUAAAUUAGAAAGAAACCUUGUACCUUUAGGAAUGUUGGAUGCGUGGAGUUUGAUAUAAAAUUGGGUCAAUGACACAUAAAAAUCUUUAAAAGUAGUAAUUUAAUCACUUCUGUCCCAAAGAGACGUGGUUUAUACUUUCUAAACGCAAAACCUUUAUUGGGUCUAUUAGCAGCAGAUUUAGAUAAUGCAUUUAAUCUUGCAAAACUAUGACAUUGUAGAAUUGGUCACAUUGGGUUAAAAAGUUUAAAGGCUCUUCAAAUAUUGGUAAAUUGUCUAAUUGUGAACAAUGUUUGAUUGGAAAACAAGUUAAGUUACCUUUUCUCACUAGUACUCAUAAAUCAAAGCAAAUUCUAGUGUACUUACAUGCUGAUUUGUGGGGUCCUGCAUCCACCCCUACUUUGUCCAGUCAUAAAUACUAACUUUUGAUAGUUGAUGAUUUUUCAAGAAAAAUUUGGGUCUUUCUAUUAAAAACCAAAGAUGAAACAUUCACUAAUUUUAAAGAUUAGAAAACCCAAAUUGAAAAAUCAAAUUAAUUGGAAAAUUAAGACUUUAAGAACAGACAACGGCCUAGAAUUUUUCAAUUAUGAGUUUAAUGAUUUUUUUUUAAAUUACAUUGCAUUUUAAUACAUAAAACUAUUACCUACACCCCUAACAAAAUGGCAUUGCAAAAAGAAUGAAUAGGACUUUAUUGAAUAAAGUUAGAUGCAUGCUUUUAAAUUCAGGUUUGUCCAAAUUAUUUUGGAGUGAGGCUGUUAAGAUUGUUGCAUAUUUGAUUAAUAGAAGUCCUACAAGUGCUUUAAACUUUGAUGUGCCUCAAUUUGCAUGGACACAAAAGCCUUUGAUUUAUUUUUAUUUGAAAACAUUUGAUUGUGUUGCAUAUGCUCAUCAAAACAUAGGGAAAUUUAAACCUAGAUCUCUCAAGUGUGUGUUUUUGGGCUAUGAUGAAAAUGUUAAAGGGUAUAGGCUGUGGAUCUAUGGGUAAAAAGGUUACAGGAUUGUCGUAAGAAGGGAUGUGGUCUUUAAUGAAUCAUAUAUGCCAUGUUUGGAAGGAAAAACGGGAAAUUUGAAUGAAAAUGAUGUCUAAAUUGAGGUGGAGCCUGUUAAAAUUGAUAAUACCAAUUUUGUCCCCUUAGAAGCAACAAUUAUUAAGGUUGAUCGAAUGAAAAUGAGCCUGAUUUGGCAUAACCUGAUCAGUGUGAUAACUUAGAUACAUCGCUAGAUGAGUACCAGCUCACUAGAGACAUGGAUAGGAGGCAAAUUAGACCGCCUGCUUGGUUUAAUAGUGAUGACUUUGUGUCUUUAUUCACUUACCAAAAAGAAACUAAAUUUGAACCUAGUUUCUAUAUUGAAACUUUAAAGUCUUAAGAUUGUAAAAAGUGGUUGGCUACAAUGGAAGAACAAAUGUCUUCCCUAUACAAAAAUAAAACUUGGGAAUUGGUAGAUAAACCUAACGAUCAAAAGCUAGUUGAUUGAAAGUGGAUUUAUAAACUAAAGGAAGGGGAAGGGGACACUAAUAAGGUUAGAUACAAAGCUAGACUUGUUGCCAAGAGUUUUACACAAAAAGAGGGUGCAGACUACAAUGAGAUUUUUUCCCUCGUAGUGAAAUAUAAAACUAUAAGAUGUGUUCUUACUUUAGUUAUGCAAUUUAAAUGGAAUCUUGAUCAACUAGAUGCAAAAGUUGCAUUCCUUUAUGGGGUAUUGUAUUAAAAAUAAAAUAAAAUAAAAAUAACUGUGUGUUUGUUGAAAAAAUCUUUGUAUAGCCUAAAACAAGUUCUAAGACAAUGGUAUAAAAGAUUUGACUCAUUUGUCUUGAAGCUUGGAUUUAGUAUAAGCAAUUAUAAUACAUGUCUCUAUUGCAAAAGAAGUCAAGGUAAAGAUACUUUGUAUCUUGUACUUUAUGUUGAUGAUAUGCUUCUAACUAGUGCUAAUAAAAUUGAAAUUGAUGAUAUCAAACGAAAAUUAAAAUCAGAAUUUGAAAUAAAGGAUCUUGGUCUCGCUAAGAAAAUGCUUGGGAUGCAAAUCAUAAGAAACGAACAAUAAUACUACUCGCUUUUAUGUCAACCAGAUUAUGUGAAUAAGGUCUCAAAGAGGUUCAAUAUGUUUGAUUGUAAACCUGUGACUUUACCCUUGCUGAUCACUUUACAUUAACAUCUUAUUCCUAUCCUAAAACUGAAGAUGAACUUGAAAGAAUGUCUAAAAUAACUUAUGCUAAUGCUAUUAGUUCAGUUAUGUACUUAAUUAUUUGCACCAAACCUGAUUUGGCAUAUAGUAUUAGUGUUUUGAGUAGAUUCAUGGGAAAUCCUGGUGAAAUUUAUUGGGAAGCAUUGAAAUGGUUAAUGAGAUAUUUAAAGGGUUCAUCUAGCUUAUGUUUGAUGUUUAAAAUGGAUAAAGAGAGGGUAAUUUUGAAGGGUUAUACGGAUUCCAAUUUUACUAGAAUUAGAGACAAUAGAAAAUCAACUUCAUCUUAUUUUUUUCACUCUGUGUGGUACUGUAAUAAGCUGAAAAUCUCAGUUACAAAAAAUUGUUGCUCUAUCUUCCAUGGAGGCUGAAUACAUUGCAGCCACUGAUGCCAUUAAAGAAGGCAUUUGGCUGUAUGGUUUGUUAAAUAAACUUGUCUUUGUAGACACUAAUCCAAUCCAUUUGAGUAAGAAUCCCAUGUUUUACAAUAGAACUAAACAUAUUGAUGUUAAAUACCAUUUUAUGAGGGAUUUUAUCUCAAAGGGAUUGCUGAAAAUUAAUAAAAUUCCUACAUUAUAUUAUCCAUCAGAUAUGGUAACCAAAGUGAUACCUUUAAACAAGUUUCAAAACAGUUUAAAGAUAUUAUUCAUUGAUCCUUUUCACUGACUAUGCAGGUACUUAGAGCAAAUGAAAUUGUAAAGAGUUGGUGAAGCUCUUGGCUGCACUAUAUAGUCAAGAAUUUUGGAAGCAAGGUGGAGAUUGUUAAAUCUCGAACCCGUGACAUAUUGAUUAUAUAAGUUGUGCUUCCAAAAUUAUAUUAAAGGCGUGUUUCUGGAUUGACACUUUUAUUAGUGGAGACUUUCUACUGGAUCUUGACACGUGGGGCCAUUCUGGCUGUUUGAUCUGCUUCUAGAUGCUUCCAGCUACUUAAGCCUCCAGUGACCUUCCGUCUGGCAGUUUUAGAGAGAUAUUUUCUUGGUUUUGAGUUGGUCUCUUUGUGCUCUCUCGCUUUGUGAAGAACUCCUUCAUCUUUGUGAUUAGGGUUCGAUUUUCUUGAGUGUUUCAGCAUAUAAACUAGUGAAAACCCUUUGUAAUACUAUAGAUCUUUGUAGUGGUGUACUACUAUGUGUUGGUUUAGGAGAAUCUAAGUGAUUCUUGUGAGAGAAGUUCGGGUUUUCUGGAGAUCUUACGGGGCUAAGUUGAUUCCUUCGUGGAUUCGUAGUUUCCUUCAUGGAUCUUGUUGAGAUAAGUCUUUGUGACCUUGUUCUUAUUUUUUUCUAGAACUGUCUUGUAUUCUUGUUCUUGAUUUUUGGCUAUUUUAGUGCAAUAGAGCUAAAUCCAUUUAUAAUGGAUGCUCAACAGGGAAUUAGGCGUUAAAUGUGGUCGUCGAACCUCAGAAGCUAUGGCCGAAAAAUCCUUGUAUGUUGAUUUUUUAUAUUUCUGCACUUUACUGUUUAUGAAUGGUUUUGUGUAUCUUGGUUAAUUCUAGAAUGGUGCUCGACUUUUCACAACGACCUUUAGAAUCCACAUUAAAUUGCAGACCAUAAACAUUUUUUCUCAGGAAAAUAAAUAAAUUUGGUCUAUGAACCUUCAGAUUGGAACAAGUUAACCCCCUUGGUACCCUCUAAUAUUUAUUGUGCCUCCAAUUGUUAUUGCUAAUGUCAAAGUUACGAUCAUGGGUUUGAGUUACAAAACCUUCAUAUUAAUGGAGGCAUUGUUGGUGAUUAUGUUGUUAAUUAGCACCCCUUGUUUGGAAAAAAAAAAUCCUAUUAUUUUUCCACCUAAUUUAUUUUCGUCACAUUUUUUUAGCCUUCUAAUGCGCUUGGGUUCUUGUAAGGCUAGACUUACAUCUUUGAAUGGAUUGAGGGUAAUCUCAGGAUUUUUGUAGUACUAGUUUUUCUACUUGUGGGAUGUGCCUCUCAAAUCUUGAUGAUGAUCAAGGUGGAUAAUGGUUUUCUUUCACAUUAUUUCUAGUUUUUGGUUGACUUAAUUACCAUGUAAUGUGAAUGCUAUUCUGGAGUACUAUUUAAGUCUUGAAAAUGAUGAUUUGAAAUGAUUAUUUUCUUAGAUCAAUUUAAUAUUUGUCUCAAUUGGUUUCUAUUACAUCAUAUUGAGUUUGAGGGGAUGUUGAAAUAUGAAAAAUAACCAGAUUGUUCACGGUAGUUUUUCUAAUUAUGUGAGAUUAUUUUCAUUAAUAGUUGUCCUUUAAAGUUACUUGUACCCUGUAAAUAGGAUUUUUUUUUUCUUUAAUGGUGUAGGUACAUUUCAUGAAAUUUAAAUUAUUCUAACAAGAAGAAAAUGCAAAUAAGAUUAUCCAAAUGGCACACACAACAUAUAAUUUUCACUUCUAACAAUAUCGUGUUUUUGACAUUGUAUAAUGUAGCUUAAUAUAACACAAGAAAUUGAGUUUAAGAUCUUACUUGAACGAAAAAAAUAUUUUCUUCGAGCUAAAUUUUUUUUUUUUUUUUUAAGUCAAUCAAAAAAUUGGAAUUUUUUUUUCCCAUAAUACUCUAAGUUAAAAAGAGAAUUUGGCACAUUAAUGUUUGAAAUCCGUGGAUUAUUAUUAUUUGUUUGAGAGGGAAUUAGUCAAUACGAAACUAGUUGCAAACAAGAUCUUGAGUAACUCUACCUAUUAAACAUAUAAUUUUUAUUUUGCCUUGUACGAACUAAAAACUUUGCUAUAACUGAAAACAUUCCCCAAUGUGGAAUUUAACAAUCUUAUGAAAUUCAACAGACCCAUUAUACUGCCCAGAAAUCCGCCAAGAUCUUUCUUGAGUAUAAAUGCUGAGAACAACCUUACAGAUUUGAGCCAAAAAACCCAGAAAAGAAGUCUAGAAAUUAUCGCUCUAAAUUACAGAAUAAAAGGGAAAUGGAGUCACCUUUUGUGGAGAUUUAUUGGUUCUCGAUUUUACUGCAGAUUCUCUUUCUUUCUCUCUGAAGUCUUCACUCUCAAAUGAGCAGCAAAAAUAUCCAAGUAGAAAAACGAAGUUAACACCGACAAUAAAGAUAACAUUUUUAUAUUUGGAAGCUGGUGGCAAAAUGGUGUCGGACUUGAACUUUAUCUGCUAAAAUAUGCGUGCAGUUGAAAUCUACUACUACUAGCAUGCGUUAACGGUAAAUAAAUGCUCCUUUGCCUAUUAUUAAAGAAUAAAGAUGAUCUCAUUUCUCCAACUUCUUCCUUUGCUUGUAACUUAAGCUUUAAAUUUUCAGAACUUAAAAUUGAUUUUAAUUUUCAGUUUUCCUUCAUUUUAAUAUUUAGGUUUAAUAGAAAAUUAAAAGUCAUAAUUAUAUAUUUUAACUUACAUUUUAAUUGAAUUUAUUCUCAUUUGUGUGGGGUUUUAGUUGUACACUAUAAAAAGGAAGGAAAUUCCAUAGUUUGGACACGACGUAAAAACACAACUUGAGAUAUUGAAUACAAAAAUACUUCAUCUAUAUUUUAUAUUAUAUUUCUAUAGUUUUGACAAUCGAUAACUCGUUCUUUAUCUCUCUAAGAUCGUGCCUAUAGAAGGAAAAUCUAUUGUGAGUUACAGGGUUUUAUCUUGGAGUCGUGUAGUGCUGAAAGUACCUACACGAAGAGAAGGCAACAUGAUUUUAGGACAACGUCUUUGACAUGACUUUCAAAACUUACUUUCUAAAUAUCUUCUCUAUUUUAUGUUAUAUUAUUGUAAAAUUGUAUUUGUUAUUUUAUUAUGUUAAUUAAUAAUCAAUCUACACACAAAUCACUCAUUAUUUUCCAUAGUUGAGGUAGUACACGACAUUGAACAAGAAAGACAGUUGUCAGAGAUGAAGGUGAAAAGGGGAUUGCAAUUGAAACUCCAACAUUGGUAGUGACUACUAGAAGGAGAGUUCAGGUGUCAAUGGUUCGGAGAAAAGUGGAGACCCAAUUUGAAGAGGAGGAAGUUGGGGACUCAAUUUGAAAAGGAGAAGUUGGAAACUAGGAAAAGACUGUUACACCAACUCCCGCUUCAAUGAGGACUGCUAGCUGGAGUAAGGUAAAGGAAGAAGAGAGUACGGUGAAAAUAAUUAUAGAUAUUAGUUAGUAGAGAGAAAAGCAGAUUAAUUUGGGGAAUAAAAGUAUAUUAGUUGAUGAAUUUAGAGUAAUAUAAUUUUAUAUAUACCUAUUUAAGUAAAUUUACAUAAAAUUAAAAAUAUAAUAAGAUUUUAUUUUUAAAUGUAGAUAUACAUAUAGGUUGUGUUUGACUCACGUUCUUUCAAAAGAGACAUUAUUAAACAAUGAUUUGAAAUCAUUUCAAUCACACAUUUUUCAAUAAAAUAAUAUUACACUUAAAUUCAAAAAAUUUCCUCAUUUUUUAACUAUACAUUUUCUAUCAAUACACUAUUCAAAAAUGCAUUCUUAUCGAAAUAAUGUGACUCAAACAAAGGUGUAUAUAUGUGUGUGUGUGUGUGUGUGUAUAUAUAUAUUCUACGGGGUCUACUUGCAUCAUUCUCCUUUAGUUGGAGAAAAUUCGUCCUCAAAUCUUGGGGCGUGUUAUCAUAAUACGUCAAUGACAUAAAUAUUAUCCCAUAUAUCUUAAUUCAAAACCUGAGUGACUAUUAAAAAUUUUCAUUGAAUCCCAACAGAAUCACCCAAACAUCCGUAGUUACUGUAUUGCAAAAUUGUAAGUUUCAAAUGUUUCACGAAAUGUAUUUGAUUCUAAGACUCGUUCAGCCAUGUGGCCUUCUAUUGAAAACCAACCAUUCAAGUGUUAAAUAUUUCAUUUGCAUCAUCGUCGUUUCAAGUUACCAACUGCCAUGAUCUGUGGUGGUCAUCACCUGACAUUGAGAAUUUUUAUGUUCAUCGAUAUCGAGUUUCUCAAAUUUCUUCUUGAGAAUCUAGACAUGAGUUCUUCAUGAAAGAUUGAUGAAUUUGUGUCUUAACUCCAUCUUAACAUCCGUACAAUAAUUUGAAACACAGUCUUUACAGGGGCUGCUAGUCAAUCCUACAACAUCAAGCACUCAACCACCGGAACACUAUCCAUCUUUGAGUUUCCAUUUGCAACCCUAUCCACAGGUAGCUUCGGGACUAAACCCACCAUUAGACUAGCCUCAGGCAGUCACAACAUGCAUGUCAUGCUCACCGCCACUUCCCUCUAGCCUAUCGCCAUAAAGGUCACCCACCAUCUGGGGAUAACCAAUCUUGCCACCUUUUUUGCCUCGACAUCAAGAGACUGAUUUUCAUUAGCUCAUCUCUACAACUCCUAUAAUCAACCAUGGAACCACAACAUGUAACUUGUCCUCAUUGAUCCAUUGUUAGGAGCAUAAACUCAGCUAUGAUACUAACUUAUGCAGGUUGAAGUAUAAACGAUAACAAAUACAAGACUAUUUAAAAAAAAUAAAAAUAAAAAUCCGUUCACGAUUAACCAUUUAGGUGGAUAAUUGAAGAAAAUUCUAAACCUUUCCAUUCACAUUCAAACCAACCAUCCUACAACAUAAUUAUAACACCAUGUUCAUAUCAAACUCCUAACUAGUCUUUAAGUAUAACUAACCCUAUAACUUAUUUAUUUUAAUUAAUCUCCUAAUCCAAAUAAAACUCCUGCGAAACUUAAAUGAUAAAAGACAUUAAUUAAAAACAAUACAAUUUAAACAAUAAAGUAUCAAAUUAAACGGGCUUGCAUGCAUCAUAGAUUUAGUUAGCCCGAUGGGGGUAAAUACAAUAUAACAUAAAUCCACAUUUGAUGAAAAGGAAACUCUUGUUUGCAAUAUCCAAACCCCUAUGGUGACGUUUAAAAUUGACUACAUUUAUUCGAUAUUGCAGUCUUAUUCAUCUUUAUUUUCUUGUUAUGAUUUCAGUAUAUAAAGUACAAACACGACCAACAAAUUUAAUGCUGAAUUGUCUAUAAAGAGUGUGAUCUCACCUGAAGUUUGAGAGAUAAUCGGACGUCUCCGAUUGAAUUCUAUCCCUUUCAAUUAGUUGCAUCAUGCUGAAGAACAAAACAGGGGUGAACAAUGUUUUCAACUACUUAAACUAGGGGAAGACAGAAAUCGAAAUCUAAUACAUUUUAUACGUAGAAUGCAUUUGGGUAACAGAGAACUGAACAUUAAUUUAAUGCAUGUUCGGUAACCAAUAUGGAACUCAACAUUAUGACUUUAUUUUUCCAUGUUAGUACAUGCAAUGAACCAUACCAAAAUGGUAGAAGAUUUAUUUUCAGAGUAAGACCAUUGAAAAUAGGAGUCAAUACGUGCAGUUGGACGGCCCAAGUUAGCACCUCUUUUGCAUUCUUAUCAUCUACUGAUUCCAUAAUUUUUUAUUAAUAAUAUCAAAAAAGAAAGAGCACAUCAAAAUGAAAGCGAGUAGAAUAAAAACUAACAAGCUAUAUAUAAGUUUUUAAGUUUUUUCCUUUCAGGUGCCAAAAAGAAUUAUAAGGACCUUAUUUAUGCGUGUACGAGUAUGAAGACUUCUUAAUGUUGGGUAGAAGAUGUGAUAAAAUAUCACUUUUUUCACUCAAAUAAACAAACUUUCAUAAAUAUCACAAUACAUAACUAUUACAAAAGAGCAACUCUCUCUCAAACACUCUCUUAUACAAGCAUGGAAAUUUCUCUUCUACGCGAUAAUUCAAAAUACAUACCAAUACCUCUAUUUAGAGAAAAUCUAAGAAGAGUUCAAAAUGAUCAAAUAACUUUCUUCGACCUCCUUUAUUAGAAGAAGAGUUCAAAAUGAAUAAGUAACUUCCACCUCUUUUGACAGAAGAACAGUUCAAAAUGAUUAAGUAACUUCCACCUCCUUUAAUAGAAGAAUAAUUCAAGAUGGUUAAGUAACUCUUUAAUAGCUCUCGACUAAUGACGAGUUUUUCCUUAACCAUGCAAAAUUCGUCUAUCCAAUAAAAAAAAACUUCUAUUUAACCUAGUUGAAUUUUGACUAAGUCAUAUAUUCAUCAUCUUCAUGCUUCUAAAGCUUCUUGAUUAUUUUGAAACUUCUUAUUUCUAGAAUUUCCUUGGUCAAAUUUACACUACUUUCAACAUCCCCCUUUAAAGUUGACCAUCCCAAGUAUAAAUUUCUAUCUAGUAAACACAUGUUUAAGUGGCUUGGUAAAAAAUCUGUUGCUUGAUCAUUUGUUCAGCAUGGUAAUAGCUUCACUUCUUUCAUCUUUAUGUAUUCCUGGAUAAAAUGAAAACAUGUGUCUAUAUGUUUGCUUCUUUCAUGAUGGGUUGGAUUAUUUGCAAGUGCAAUUGCUAAUUAGUUAUCAAUAUAAAUCUCAAUGAAAUUUUCUUGACGGAACUACAAAUAUGUUAGCAUAUUGCGCAACCAGAUAGCAUGACAUACAACUAAAAUUACAGCAACAUAUUCAACUUCACGACUGGAUAAAGUAACAACUAGUUUGGAUGACAAUGAGAGUGCAGUUUCUCCAAUAAAAAUACGAAUCCAGUUGUACCUUUCCUUUCAUCUAUGUCUAUUCCCCAAUUACUAUUUGAAUAACCAAUGAGCUUAAAAUCAUUAGUAGAUGUAUAACAUAAGCCUUCAUUGAUUGUACCUUUAAGAUAGCGGAGUAUUCUUUUUGCUACAUUAAGAUGUGACAAAUCUAGUGUCUCCAUGUAUCUGUUGAUCAAUCUUACGCCCUCUAGUAUAUCCGAUCUGGUGCAUGUUAGGUAUCUAAGGCUUCCAACCAAGAUCUUGAAAUAUGUAGGAUCAACAUCAAUAUCUUCAUUUUUGCGUAGUUCCAAUUCGCUUUCAACUGGAGUAGUUACUGGAUUAUACUUCUCCAUUCCAAAUUUCUUUAAAAUAUCUGUUGUAUAGGCACUUUGAAAAAUAAAAAUCCCAUCUUCUUGUUGCUUAACUUCAAUCCCAACAAAGUGAGCUAUGAAUCCAAUAUCAGUCAUUUCAAAUUCUUUCAUCAUAUUUUCUUUGAAAGUUUCAAACAUGGAUGGAUUGUUCCCUAUAAAAAUCAAAUCAUCCAUAUAUAAACAAAUAAAUACUAUACUUCCAUCCUGUACUGCAUGUUCAUACUAACAUUGAAUGAAUCCAUUCUAUUUAACGUAAUUGUCAAUACGGGUAUUCCAUGCUCGGGGGCAGCUUGCUUGAGUCCGUAAAGAGUUUUUUUCAAUUAAUAAACUUUAUUUAGUUGACCCUCUCGUAUGCACCUUGGUAGCUGCUUGACAUAUAUGUCAUCUUGAAGAUAUCCAUUUAGAAAUGUUGUCUUGACAUCAAGCUGAUAAAUUUUUCAUUUAUGUUGUGUAACGAGUGAAUUCAACAAUCGAAUUGUCUCCAUGCGUGCAACAGGUGCAAGUAUUUCUCCAUAAUCAAUUCCUGCUUUUUGAGAAUAACCUCGUACAACGAACCUUGCUUUAUACCUCUGAAUUUUACCUGGUAUAUUCUUUUUAAUUUUGUACACCCAUUUUACUCCAAUGGCCAUUUUUCCUUCAAGUAGCUCAAUAAGCUUCCAUGUGUUGUUCUUCUCAAUAGAACUAAUUUUUUUAUCCAUUGUUUUUUGCCAUCUUUUAUCUGUUAAAGUUUUUUCAAAAGAAAGUGGUUCACUGUUAGCUAAUAAACAAAACAAUUCAUAGUGCUCACCUUGUUUUUCAGUAGCAUCAUAAAUAUCUCUCAAGCUUUCAUCUUUCUCGGCCUUUCUUCAGAGGAUGAUGCUACUAAAGAUGAUGAAUUUUCUGAUGUUGUAGGUGAGCCACAUACACUUGUUUGUGUGCCACUUGCUUCACUGUUUGGUGGUUGACAUUGAUGAAGUUCUUCUUACUCAAGAAUCAAACUAACUUCAUCGAUGUCUUUAGCAUUCUCCUAAUUCCAAGCUUUAUCUUCUUCAAAAAUUACGUCUCGACUCAUUAUAAUAUAUUUUAUGAUGGGAUUGUAUACAUCCCAUUAGCCUAUCAUCAUAGCCGAUAAAGAUAUAUUUCUACCCUUUGUCAUCAAUCAUCAAGUUUAGUUCUUCUUGCUUCUGAUAUCUUUACAUAAGCUAUACAUCUAAACACUUGAAGGUAAUUUGCACUAGGCUUAUAUGUGCUCCAAGCCUCAUCAAGUGUUACUCCACGAACAUUCUUGAUAGGACAUCGAUUCAAUAAAUAUAAGCUGUUGAAACUACUUUAGCCCAAAAUCAUUUAGGUAAUUUCUUAUCUUUUAAGAUACUUCUUGCCAUAUCGAGAAUCAUGUGAUUCUUUCAUUCAAAUAUACCAUUUAAUUAUGGAGUAUAAGUUGGCGUGAAUUGUUAUCUGAUGCCAUUCAAACUACAAAAACCUUUGAAUGCAUCAGAAGCAUACUUCUUCCUAAUCCAAUUGUAACAUCUUUAUGUGAUAGCGACUUUGUUUUCAACUCUAGAUUUGAGUUCUUUGAAUGCAUUCAACAGCUUAGACUUUCUUUUAAGAAAGUAUGCCAAUAUCUUUCUAAAAGAAUCAUCAAUAAAUGUAAAAGAUGACCUUUUUUCGUUUGAUAUUGGCUUCAAUGGAUCACAUAUAUCCGUAUAGACCAAAUCUAAUGGCUUCUUUGCUCUCCAACUUGUCUCGCUUGCAAAAUUUGUUCUUGCAUGCUUACUAAGAACACAGCUUUCACAAAUUUCAUUCGGAUAAUCAAUAUUUGGUGACCACUUUUGUAUUUUUUUCUUUGACAACAAUCUUAAUCCUUCAAAAUUUAAGUGUCCAAAUCUCUAGUGCCACAACCAAUUCUUAUCAAUUAUAAUGGCACUUAGACAUUUUGGUGAGUCAUGAGGAAUGUUUAAAGCAAAGAUUCUAUUUUUAGACAUUCGUACUAGGGAUAUUGGAUUUCCAUGAUCAUCUUUGAUUAUCAAGUGGGAGUCUCUUAAGUUGAUGUCAUAUCCUUUUCUAGAAGCUAUCGUAUACUUAAUAAAUUAUGCUUCAUAUCCGACACAUAAAAAACAUCAGUAAUAUAACUGUGAUGGUCAUUAUUUAGCUUUAAUAAAAUGUUACCUCUUCCUUUUACUUCAACUUUGGAGAGGUUGCCAAAAGAGAUAUGUCCAUGUAGAGUUUCAUCAAGCUCCAUGAACAUAUGCUUUCUCCCACAUAUGUGAUUGCUUUAUCCUGUAUCCAAAAACCAUAUAUCUUCAUUAUUUAUUGUUGUAUGAUGAGUCAUCAAUAUUAGCGAUUUUGGAUCACUUGUAUCACCAAAGUUGGUAUCGUGGCCGACUUCAAUAUCAACAAUCUUCACAUGACAUUCAUUGCUAUAAUGUCCAUACUUAAGAUAGUGAUAAUAUUGCACGUUCCUUUUGUCACCAAUUUGAUGAUUAAAACCAUUUCUGCAUCUUUCUUGUCCUCUACCCAAACAUCUAUAUUAAUCUCUUCCUCUUUAAUAAAAUUGUUGUUGAAUUCCAUGUCCAUUGUGAUGUCAAAUCUUCCUCCUCUUCCUCAAUUAUUAAAACCUCAUCCUCUUUGAAACCGACCCUUUCCUCGACUUGGUUGUGAAUCUCAUUGUUCUUCUUUAUUUUCUUGAAAAGAAAGCAUUGAUUGCAAUGCUUCAUCAAGAGGUUUUGAUGAAGCUUCUUAUUGAUAUGUUGCUCAUGGAUCUCUAGAGAAGCCAAUAGUUCAUCAACAGUUAUAAUACUGAGGUCUUUGGAUUCCUCAAUUGCUAUGACUACAUUAUAAAACUUCGAAUUUAAGGAACGAAGAAUCUUUUCUAUUAUAUACAAAUCUUUGAUCUUUUCUCCCUUGCACUUCAUAUUGUUCACUAUUUUGAUGACUCGAGUAAAAUACUCCAAAAUUGACUUGAUGUCAAGUAUCUUUAGUGUUUCAAAUUCGAUUUUCAACAUUUUUAGGCAAAUUCUCAUUGUCUUUUCAAUACCUUGAAAUGAAUUUCGAAGUACAUCCCAUGCUUCUUUUGCAUUUGUAAUAGAAGCAACCUAUUUCAAAAUUUCCUUCAUCUACUGCCUAAUAUAUUAGGUACAGGGCCUUCUAAUCUUUCUUCCUCGCUUCCUUAAGUGAUGCCUUUUCAAUUGCACUUAAUAUGUCUUUCAUCAACUUUAGACGCAGGUUCUGUAUAUCCACCAUUUCCCGUAGGUCUUGGGAUACUAAAAGCACCUUCAUUUAUAUGUUCCAAUUCUCAUAAUACUCCUUUUUCAGUAUUGGUAGUUGUGGCUGGAAUAAACUAUUUGAAGAGGGCAUAUCGAAUUGAAAACAAAUAUUUUGUCAUUCUUUUUUCUUGGCUCUGAUACCACUAUUGGGUUGAAGAUGUGAUAAAAUAUCACUUUUUUCACUCAAAUAAACAAACUUUCAUAAAUCUCACAAUACAUAACUAGUACAAUGGAGCAAUUCUCUCUCAAACACUCACUUAUACAAGCAUGAAAAUUUCUCGUCUACCCAAUAAUUAAAAAUACAUACCAAUACAUUUAUUUAUAGAAAAACUAAGAAGAGUUUAAGAUGAUCAAGUAACUUUCUUCCACCUCAUUUAUUAGAAGAGUUUAAAUUGAAUAAGUAACUUCCACGUCUGUUAAUAGAAGAAGAGUUCAAGAUGAUUAAGUAACUCUUUAAUAGCUCUCGACCAAUGACAAGUUUUUCCUUAACCAUGUAAAAUUCUUCUAUCUAACAAAAAAAACUUUUGCUUAACCAAGUUGAAUUUUAACUAAGUCAUAUAUUCAUCAUCUUCAUACUUCUAAAGUUUUUUGAUGAUUUUGGAACUUCUUAUUUCUAGAAUUUCUUUAGUCAAUUUUGCGCUACUUUCAACACUUAAUGCCAUUUUGGAUCAUCAAAAUAUAUAAAAUUUAACCAUUUAAGCUAUUAGACAUCAUAAAUUAACUAAGUGGACACAUAGAUGUUGAUUACUAAUUGCAGAUUCUUACGUAAAGAUUUUCCAUUCCAUAUAUAAAUGUGAAAUGUUAAAAGUUUGAAACUUCAAUAGGUCUACAUCUUGUUUAAGAAAUAGAGGCAAUCAAUCUAACUCUGAGAGAUAAUAUGUAAACUAAUGAAUUUUUUAACCAAUUAUCCAAUCACGUGUAAAUUGGAUCCAGUAUCUUCUUGUCGAAUGUACGUGGUGUGCACAAGUUUCAUAAUAAUUGGUGAUGUGGUGCAAAAAGAAUUAGACUUUAUGGAAAAGUAGGACCGGUGCAUGCAGAAAUAGGCAACUUUUCAAUUUUUGAAGAAAUUUGGGGAUGGUCUGUUUUUGGCGAAAUAUUAGUUAAAUUUGAUUGAAAAUGGGCCAACGAACGUAGGCCCAAUUUUAGACAAAUUCCUUUAUUUAGGCCUUCGUUUGUACGUUUUUUUCCUCUCUUUUUUUGUAAAUUUUGUUUUGAUUAUAUCUAAAUCAAUUUAAGUCAAAUUUGAAUUCCGUUUGUUGGAGGAUAAACCUUAAGAUUAGAAAUUUCAAUUUUAGUCAUUAUCUCGAUUUAUUUCAUUUUUUGGAAAAAAAAUCUUUAUUUAUUAGUUUUUUACUUUUCCAAAUUUUCCUUAGGUUUUCCCUAUAUAAAAUAUUGUAAGCUCUUUGUAACCGCAUUGAUUGACAGAAACAAAAUCUUUUCAUGGGUUUUUCAUCUUUUCUAUAACCUUCUGCUACAUUAGUUGGUAUCAUAGCUACAUUCGUUCCUUUGCCAUGCCGCCAAAAAGACGUCCAGAAGCCCGCGAAGCCUCAAUAGAGGAGGUGAAUAGAUGUGAUGAGAUCGUACAGCUACAUCAACAAGUGGAGUUGUUGACCCAGCAAAUCAUUGCACUUGUGCCACAGCAGCGUGAACCUGUGGCCCAACCGCUUGAGGAUUCUGAAGAUAAAAAUCCAUUUGCACCAUUUGAUCAUCCAAUAGAUCUGCCAGUCCGAUGGAGAAAAGGUGGCAAGGAAGAGAAUAGACGUUGGGAAUCAGGAUUUAAGGUUGAUAUCCCUGAUUCCAAGGCGAAUUAAGUCCAGAAGAAUUCUUGGAUUGGGUAACUGCAGUGGAGGUCUUGGAAUUUAAGGAGGUUCCUACUGGUAAACAUGUGCCUCUCAUUGCAACUAGAUUUCAUGGACAAGCAACACCGUGAUUCGAUCCACAUAUGUUUGGUAAAGAGAAUAAUCUUCUCCUUUGAAAAUAAUCAAAAAAGGAAAGUGUUCAAUUGGAAAGACGUGGUGACAGCAGACAGAGGUAACGAGAUCCAGAUUAGGGAACAAAAAUAUUGAAUCUUAGGAUAAAUUAAAGAAGCACAUAAAGAAGCAAUUUCUGCCCUAUAAUUAUGUUCGGAUCAUGUAUCAGCGAUCGCAGAAUUUGAGUCAAUGCAUGAAGACGGUUGAUGACUAUAUGACGGAGUUUUACAUGUUUACCAGGAACGAGGUGAUAGAAACAGAGGAACAGUAGGUGUUGCAAUAUGUGGGUUGUCUUUGUCCCCAAAUACAAGACACACUGAAUAUGUUUGAUCCUGUGUGAUAGUUUUUUAGGCGCAUCAACGGGCGAUACAGAUAGAGAAACAACAGUUAAGGUGAAAUAUGGGUCAUUUCACUGCAAGGGAUUCUUCCAGUAAACCACAGUACCAGACAACACGUCCUGAUAGUCCUAGCGAGGCUGGUUCUUUCAAAGCAAAUCCUACGCAACGGCUAAGACGUCCUGAAGGUGGUAUUCGUUGUUUCACUUGUAGAGGUAUGGGCAUAUUCAAAAUAUUCGCGCAAACGACUCUUUAUCGAUGAGGGGUAUGAAAAGUAUGAAGAGGCACUUGUAUUUGAAUGAAGAUGUUGAAGGAGCAACAGAGGAGGAGGAAUUUGUUGUUUAAGCAUUCGUGGUAAUGCAGAGUUUUUUUUACUCCUCUACAGAGUAAGGGUGACUAGUUGCAUAAUAAUAUCGUCUAGUCUACAUGUACUGUUGGAGAAAGGGUCUGCAAGUUUGUUAUUAAUUCUGGGAGUUGCAAGAAUGCAGUGACUUAGGAGGUCAUUAAGAAAUUGGGUUUGCAGAUUGAGAAACAUCCCCAACCGUAUAAGUUGGCUUGAUUCGAUGUUGAAGUAUCCUAGCGUGCUCUAAUUAGUUUUUUCGUUGGACCCACAAAAAUUAGGUUUUAUGUGACGUGGUAGAGAUGGAUGUAUGCCAUUUCCUAUUAGGGAAACCUUUGCAAUUUGAUCGACACUCAUCGCAUAAUGGAUAUACCAACACGUACAGUUUUCUAUUUAGGAAAAUGAAAAUUGUGUUGCUACCUGACAACAGCCCAACAAAAACAAUUGGAGACAUUACCAAUUUAUUAACCAAAGUGCAGUUUGAGAUGGAGAAGGUAGAAUUUGGUGGUAUAUGUAUUAGUAGGCAAGUCAAUUAAUAUUGAGCAGGAAGUCCCUCACAGAAUUCGCCUAUUGCUGGAAGAAUUUCUGGAGAUUUUCCCAGAAGAGCUUCCAGAUGGGUUGCCACCACUAUGAUAUAUUCGGCAUCAUAUUAAUUUAGUGCCUAAUGCUACUUUUCUAGUUGAACGCAUUACAGGAUGAGCCCUACUGAGCAUGAGGAGUUGUACAAACAAAUGGAGGAGCUUUUGGCGAAGGGGCACAUCAAGGAAAGUAUCAGUCCUUGUGCUGUUCCUGCUCUCCUUACACCAAAAAAAGACGACACGUGACGUUUGUGCAUGGACAAUAGAGCGAUCAAUAAGAUUAUGAUACACUAUCGUUUUUCCUAUUCCUUACUUGGAUGACUUACUAGAUCAGCUCACGGGUGCUUGUGUGUUCGGUAAACUUGAUUUGAAGAGUGGGUACCAUCAGAUUCGUAUUAGGCCUGAGGAUGAGUGGAAGACAGCCUUUAAGACGAGGAAAGGGUUAUACUAGUGGUUAGUCAUACCAUUUAGCUUUUUAAUGCGACAAGUACCUUUAUACGGGUUAUGAAUCAAGCUCUUCGUCCAUUCAUCAAUAAAUUUGUUGUAGUUUACUUCGAUGAUAUCUUGAUUUAUAGUGCUAACAAUGAUGUUUUAUGUCCAGCACCUUCAAGAAGUUAUUUCAGUCCUUCACAGAGAUGAAUUUUAUGUUGUACUAAAGAAUGUAACUUUUUUGACAGACUGUGUUGUUUUUAUGGGUUAUGUGGUGUCAAGAAUGGGGUUAGCAGUUGAUACAUCCAAAGUAGAAGCAAUAAGCCAAUGGCAACAGCCUAAGAUGAUUACAGAAGUGCAGAGUCUUCAUGGCUUUGCUUCCUUCUACCGCAGGUUUAUACCACAUUUUAGUAGUAUCACGAUGCCAAUUACAGAUUGUAUGAAGGAUGGCAAGUUUCAGUGGUGAGGCAGAGGCAUCUCUUCAAUUACUUAAGCAAAAAUUGACAACAGCCCCAAUUUUGGUCUGAUUUUGCUCAGCCAUUAAAGUUGCAUUGUGAUGCUUCGAAGGUGUGCUGAACCAGAGCAAUCAUCCUGUUGCAUAUUUCAGUGAGAGACUUUCUAGCCCCAAGUCUCAGUAUAGUACUUAUGAUGUGGAUUUCUAUGCAAUACUCCAAGCGGUUCGACAUUGGCGUCAUUAUUUGUUUCAGAAGGAAUUCAUUUUAUAUACUGACCAUGACGCCUUUAAACACCUUAGGACGCAAGAUAAGGUAUGUGCUCAGCAUGCUUCUUAGAUUAUUUAUUUACAGUAGUUUACUUUGUGAUCAAGCACAAAGCAGGUGCCCUUAAUGAUGGAGCAAAUGCAUUGAGUAGACGACAAACUCUUCCGACAGAAUUGCUAGUGGAGGUCCCAAGUUUUGAACUAUUUGCGAUUUAUAUGCUACUAAUCCAUAUUUUUUUACAAAUUAUUCAGAAGUUGUAGGAAGGUGUGCAUUCGAAGUUUGUGUGGGUCGAUGAUUUUCUUUUUUAGGGAAUCAGUUAUGUACCCUUGAGAGCAGUUUGUGGCAUAAGAUAAUUCAAGAAUUGCAAAAUGAGGGUCACGUAGGUCAUGAUUGAACAUUACAACUUGUUGCUACUUCUUAUUUUUGGCCUUCAUUGCGUAAAGAUGUCGGUAGGUUCGUGGAGCAUUGUCGAACAUGUCAUCUUGCUAAAGGCAAGGCUACGAAUACUGAUUUAUAUAUGCCCCUGCCUAUUCUGACUCAACCUUGGACAGAUAUCAAUAUGGGCUUUGUCUUGGGGAUUUAAGGACUCAACGUGGUUUUGAUUCUAUUCUUAUGGUGGUUAAUCGUUUCUCCCAGAUGGUCCAUUUUAUUCCCUCCAAGAAGACUAAGGAUGCUAUCAAUGUGGCAUUGCAGUAUUUUCGUGAGGUCUAUCGUCUACAUGGACUUCCUGUUUCUAUUGUGUCUGAUCAGAUACUCGUUUUCUUAUUCACUUUUGGCGCAAUUUAUGGCGUUUUGUCGAUACACAGUUGCACUUUAACAAUGUAUAUCAUCCUCAAAUACACAGUUGUACUUCAACCGUUCCUUGGGUAAUUUACUAUGUUGUUUAGCUGUGAUCAUAUCAAGACUUGGGAUCAAAAAUUGUGUCAGGCAAAAUUUGAUUAUAAUCAUGUAGUUAAUCGAAUACAGGCUUUAGUAAUUUUCAUGUGGUGUAUGGCCUUGUUCCUCGUAUCCUAUUGAUUUGGUUCCAAUUUCUACUACUAUUAAAAUGCAUGAUAAAGUGGAGGUUAUCAUUCAAUAGUUACAGCAGGUUCAUUCACAGACUUUGCAGGCUGUUGUCACUAGAUAUAAGCAUAAUGCGGAUCUUAAAGAUCGUAUUUAAGCAGACGAGUUUAAGGUUGGUGACUUUGUUUGGACGGUGUUAACAAAAUAUUGUAUUCCUGGUCAUGAAUACAAUAAGCUUGCUGAAAGAAAAAUUGGUACGUUGGAGAUCAUUGAGAAGAUUAAUCCCAAUGCAUAUUGGUUGAAGCCUCCAAGUCAUAUUUGUACAUCCGACAUUUUUAAUCUCAAGCAUUUGGUGCCAUUUCGAGGUGAUAAUUUUGAUGAUGACGUUACUUCUCUGCUUAAUUCGAGGGAAAAUUUUCCUUAACCAAGGAGGAAUGACGUGGUGCAAAAGGAAUUAGAUUUUAUUGAAAAGUGAGACCGGCACAGGUAGAAAUAAACAACUUCCCGAUUUUGGAAAAAUUUUGGGGUGGUUUGUUUUUUAUGAAAUUCUAGUCAAAUUCAUUCAUUUAGGCCUUUGUUUAUGCGUCUUUCCUUUUUUAGUAUAUUUUGUUUUGGUUAUAUCUCAAUCAGUUUAAGUUGGAAUUAAAUUCUGUUUGUUGGAAGAUACUCCGUAAAAUUAGGACUUUCAAUUUUAAUCAUUAUCCUGAUUUUUUCCAAUUUUGGAAAAAAAAUCUUUUUUUAUUAUUUUUUUAAUUUUCAAAAUUUUCCUAGGGUUUUCCCUAUGUAAAACAUUGUAAGCCCUUUGUGGCCACAUGAUUGAUCGAAGUAAAAUCUUUACGUGAGUUCUCUCUUUUUCUUUUUCUUUUCCCUAUCUUGUGAGAUUUGUUUAUCUUUCCUAUAACCUUUCGCUACGUCAAUUGGUAUUUAAGGACUUCAACUUAAGACAUUUAUGUGACACGGUACCAUUUUAAACCACAUUAUUUUAAAGCUUAAGAUAUAUCGAAGAGGAAUAUAUUCUCGAUAAGACAAAAUUUGAUAGAAAAAUAACUAAUUUCUCACAUUAAUUUUUUAUCCUCAAUUAUGUGUAGUUUAAGGUACAAAGCAUGAACCUUAGACACAAAAACACAAAGAUCAAGCCAUCUCACACUGAGGGCGUUAUUACACUCAUGAAUAGUACUGCCCACGGUCCCACCUUCACUUUCAAAUAAACAUGUUCAGUGGCAUUCGCACUCUAUUAAUGAUCAAAAGAUUUGUUGGAAACACCAUGAGAUACUAGAAUACUUAUGAUUUUGUGCCAUCCUUAUGUUCACAUUUUCCUACAUGAUCAUUAUUGUUUCAAUUCUACAUCCUCCCCUGCCUCCAUCACCUUCACCAAAAGCUAGUUUAGAAACUUAUACAGGAGAAAAACAUGUAAUAUAUAUAUCAGUGUAUCCUUCGCCCAUAGUUUUGUUCAAUUCUUUUUGUCACACUUGUAGAUUACUUUGCAUCCAUAUCCGAGCUACAAUUUUCCACCUUAUAAUUUCCAUUUCUGCCUAUUUAAUUCGUUCCUUCUCAAAAGAAGGGUCUUUGCAUUCAUUUUUUCUGCGGUUAUAACCCAUUAAAAUUUUUAGUUUUACACAAAACUAACUAAGUGAUUGAAACUCAAUGGCAAAAAGCAUCAAAGCGUCUACCACAGAAGCAUGUUGUUCGUGUGUUCAAGAGAGAUAAGAGAGGAAAUUAGAGAACCUUUAACUAAAAUAAUGGAAGAGUUUUCCAGUGACAGAAAAAACAAUUAGGGAAAUCUCAGCACUACAGAGAGUAGAGAAUUCUUGAGCAUUCUUAAAAACCCCUCUUCUCUUUGAAAAGGUCACUUGGUGUGCCAUCAAGUGAUGUAUCCGUAUGAAAGCAUAUGUUGGAAGUCAAAAUUUAUGGACUUGGUAGAGAGAGGUUUUGAAACUUAAAAUGAAGAAGGCGUGUCUUAAGCACAAAUAGAUUUGCAACAAGCAACUAAGAUGAAGAAUCAAAAGGCUCUUAGCACGAUUCAUCAAGAUCUUAAUGAUACAAUUUUUCAAAAGGUGUAAAAAUGCUACCAUUCAAAGCAAGCAUGUGGGAUUUGUAAAAUUACAUAAAAAUGUGGGAAAAAUUAGAAAGGUUCGUCUUAAAUCAUUGAAAGGAGAACUUGAAGAUCCAUCCACGAAAGUAUCUAAAUGAAUUUCAAAUUACUCUUCACGACGAUUGGUGAUUAUCAAUGAGAUGAAAAGGCAUCGUAAAGAAGUAAGUGAAUUUAGUGAUCGGGAAAAAAAUUGAUUAUUGCAUGAAAAUUUUAAUUUUCAUUGUAGUGGCAGUAGAAGAAUCAAAACAUUUGGAAGAAACGACUAUUGAUGAAGUUGUGAGUACACUACAAACUUACAAAGAAAAUUUGUUGAAAAAAGGAAAGAACGUGUAAGAAGAACAAUAUGAACCAAAAAGGUAGAAAACAUGGAAGAGGUCAUAGAAGUGGAGAUAGAAAUUCUGAACAUCAAUCCAAUAUUCAUAUAAGUCAAGACGGUGAGGAAGACAAUCUCAAAAAAGAGGAAGAAAAGAAUAAUGGUUGAAGAUAUGAUAAAUCUCAAAUUGAAUGAUAUAAUUUUCACAAUCUAAGUCAUUUUUUAUGUUAGUGCAGAAGUAACAAUGUGGGGGAGCUAUCCAGCUAUGAUUAAAAUAAAGAUACGAAAAUGAAUUUUACUCUUGUAAAUACAAGGUACAAGGAGAUAAUAAUUCUUGGUACUUAUAGACCUAAGCAAGUAAUCAUAUGUGUGGAGAUCAAGCUAUCUUCAUGGAACUUGAAGAACUAAAUGACCACGUUACAUUUGGUAAUGAUUCAAAGGUACAAGUCAAGGGUAAAAUUCUCAUCCAAAUGAAGAAUGAAGAACAAUACAUAUUCAGUGUUUACCAUAUUCCUUUUAUGAAGACAAACGUUUUGAGUUUUAUCCAAUUUUUAUACAUAGAGUUCCAAUCAUAUAGAACCAGAUAAUCUUGUGAAUAUUCAAAGUUGAGAAGUAGAGUGUUUGCAGGCAUAGGUAAAGAUUCAACAUGUCUAUUACAUUUGAAACUUGGCAAUUUAAGUUUUGACAGUCUAAACAUCUUUACAAAGUGAAAUAUGGUGAAGGGGCCAUAACAUAUUUAUCAUCCAAAUCGACUUUGCGAAGAGUCUAUGAAAAGAAAUCAGAAAACUUUCUCAAAAGAAGCAAGUUUUCGAGCAUCGAGACUACUAAACUAGUGCAUACGGAUCUCUAUAGAUCGCUCCAGCCUGCAUAAUUUGAUAAAAGUAAUUACUUCAUUUUAUUUAUUCAUGACUUUUCUCGUAAAGUAUUAGGUGAGUUUCUUAUAGAAAAGUCUGAAUUUCAAGGCAAUGGUGAAUAAUCAAAGUAGUCACAAGAUCAAAAACUUAUGGUCAAAUCAUGGUGGUGAUUAUAUUAGCAACACAUUCAAGAAUUUUUGUUAAGAUCAUGGCAUUUUAUCAUUUUUUUUAUUUUCACUUGUCUUCUAAACAAAUGGCGUAGCAGAGAAAAGAAUAUGACAAUAAUGAAAAUGACUUGAAGUAUGCUGAAAAGUAAGAAGAUGCCAAAAAAGUUCUUGACUAAAAUUGCUUAGUGAGAUAUGCAUUUGUUGAAUAGUUGUCCCACCAAAGUGUGCAAAAUGACUCAUCAAGAAGCAUGGGGUGAACUCAAGCAAAGUAUAUUACAUUCAAGUUUUCAUAAGUAUUGCUUUAUCUCAUAUUUUGAAAGAAAGAAGGACCAAACUAGAUGACAACAGUGAGAAAUAAAUCUUAAUAGGCUAUGAUUCAAAAUCAAAAGAUUACUAGCUCUCCAACACAAUAAAUAAGAAUGUGAUCAUAAGUAGAGAUGUUGAGUUCGACAUUGAAAUUGGGCAAGAAGAAAACUAUAAUUUCUUCAAGAACUUGAAAGGGUUAACACUGGAACAAAGGCAAAAGCACUUUUAGGAUUGGCUCCUUCUUUGCCACAAGGAAUAUUUCAAUUCUUAUCAAUGGUGGUCCAUCUCCCUUUUUCUCAUGCUUGAAACUACUUAUUCUUCUUCAAACUCGGAUGCCCACAUAAUGGUAUUAGAACUUUUUUUUUUCUUUUCAUUUUUUUUACUCAUCUCCAAUGAAUGGCAUUCUAGAAGCUCUCAAUCAAGCAAAGACUUCCUAUACUAUGCUAAAGCCAAAUCAAUGUGGGCAUAAAUUGGGACAUACUGUCAAUGAUCUCAGUUAAACCAAUUCGGAAACGAUUUUCUCUUUGCGGUUAAAUUGGAUAUGCGACAUAGGAUAAAGAAAAUGGAGUUGAGAACAAGAUGAUGUGAUUCCACCUUAAUUAACAUUGUUAGCUCUAACUCCAAGAUAUAGCAUCAUCUUCAUCAUCCUCAAGUAAAAUACCACAUCAUUUUAGAUGCUUUCAAUAGAUUUGUAAUGAUACCGAAGAGUUAUCUCAACAUCUUAAGGAAAUAACUUUAUUUUGUUUAUUUGCCCAUCAUGCGAUUAUUAAUUUUAAUGAUGCUAUUAGAAAUAAUAAUGAAGAAAGCCACGAAAGAAGAGAUCUAUUAAGAAGAAUGAUACGUGGGAGUUAGUCAUGCAACCUACUGGCCAAAAGUCAAUUGGAGUCACGGACUUCUGAGUAAAAAAAACAAUGUAAAUGGUGAAAUCGAAUGGUACAAGACAAAUGUUGGUAGCUAAUAGCUACAAUCUGGAACAUGAUGUCAAUUAUGACAAAAUCAUUGCGCCAGUAGCUCUUUUCGAAAAAUAAGACUUUUCAUUUUCACGGCUGCAUAAAAUGGAUGUUCAAUCGACAUUUUUGAAUGAACUUCUACGACAAAACGUAUAUAUAAUACAACCUCAUGGGCAGGGACGAAUUCAAGAGUUUGAGUCAACACGGACAGUCGUUGACCAUUUACCGUCGGACGCCAUAAAAUAUUAAGAGUCCUUUUGAUACCAAUUCUUUUGCCAAAAAAAAAAUGUAUUUUGGAAUAGUGAUUUGACGGAGAAUGCGUGACUAAAAAUAAAGAAAUUUUUUGAAUUUAAGUGUAAUAUUAUUUUAUUGAAGAAUGUAUAAAUGAAAAAAAUAGAGAAAAAUGUAUUUUGAAAAAAAAUAGAAACCAAACAAGACCUAAAGUUCAAAUAUAACAAUUAUUUUGUUCAAACUGAACAUAUGUAAUUCUGUUAUAAGAAUAAACAAAACUCAUUAAAUGACAUUGUUGCCAAGUUUUUUAUAAUUCAAAGGAAGGGCGCAAAUUCGAAUCCUUAAAAUUGUUUGUAUUAAAACAGUUAAAACCUAACAAAUAUUAUUUUGUUAAGCCCCUGUUUGAGCCACAUUAUUCUCAAAAAAAAUGUAUUUUUGAAUAGUGUAUCGAUAGAAAAUGUGUGGUUAAAAAAUAAAGAAAAGUUUUGGAUUUACAUGUAAUAUUAUUUUAUUAAAAAAUAUGUGAUUGAAAUGACAUCAAAUAACUGUUUAAAAAUGUAUUUUCCAAAAAAAAUGUAGCUCAAACAGGGCCUAAAUUUAGUGACACAAUUCAAGUGGUUCCAUAAUGGUUAAAUUUACAAUAACCCUUGCAAGAGAUCACAGAUUCGAAUCCCCAUAGUCCCUCUCCCUAUUGAAUUUUGAUAAAAAGUGUAGAGUAAAAAUAAUACACAACAAAUCCGUUGACAAGGGAUUCAAACAUGAUGAGACUUCAAAUAUGUUUAUGCAAGCACUAACCAAGCUAUAAGGGAUGUUUGAAGAUAGAAUCAAUUAUCCUUAAUAUAAGGUAAAAAUUUAAUCUAUUGUUUAAAAAUAUAUAUAUAUAAAUAAAUAAAUAAAUAAAUUCUCCCAACAGACCCUAGCUUGCCACCACCUAGAUCCGUCGUUGCUCAUGGGCAUGUUGUGAAAGGGCACAAAGAUAAGGUUUUGAAGUUGAAGAGAGCUUUUAUAGUUUAGAGCAAGUCUCAAGGGCAUAGAAAAGACUCGAUAAAUUUCUUCAAGUUGAUGGAUUUAUUUGUUAAAGACAAUUGGAAACUGGUUCCUAAAAAGUUCUUAAUUAUUCUAGCUAUUUAUCAUAUAAUUUUUAUUUUAGCUUGUACGAACUAUGACUUUGCUAAAUUUAACUACAUUUCUCAAAAAUGGAAUUGGAUUAUUUAUUAGAAUUAGAUGCAAGCAGAGGUAUAAAGGGAUAACAAAAAUUAAAAUUACAAAAAUAAAUUUUUCGAAUCGACCAUUUAGGUGGCUAACUAAAAAGAGAAUUAAAGUUUUAAUUCAAUAUUCAAAAUCAAUCAUCUUACUACAAAACCCUUACCUAGACUUUCAAAGCAAAACAAUCUAUAGAAAAUUUAUCUGUUUUGAUUAAAUUCCUAAUAAAAAUAUAGUUCCUAUUGGACAUAAAAUGAUAAAAGAGUAAUUAAUUAACAGUAACAAAAAAUAAACAAUAAAAUAUAAUAUUAAAUGGGAUCCACUUGUACCACUCACCUUGGAUUGAAAAAGAUUCAUCCUCGAAUAUGAUGUAGGAUAGUUGAGAAUUUUAGAAGUUAGAACAUUAGAAGACAAUCAAAUUGAAAUAACCAGCAGAAGAAAACAAUUGGAAAAGAAGAAGCAGACAGAAUGAGGGUCAGAGAAGAAGAAGAAGAAAGGGAUAGGGGAGAAAUCGAGAGGAGAGGGGAGGAAGAAAACAUAGCAAACAAUAAUUUAAUUCAUUCAUCAACUACUUUUUAUCCCAAUUACAAUAACAAAAUAAUAACUUGGGCUUGGGCCAAACCCAUAUAUAAGCCCAAUGAGACUUAAGCCCAAAAUAAGUAACUAAAACACAUAAGCCCAAAAUAAAUAAAAGAUAAAAUGGGAUGGAAUAAUGUCCGCAUCAACUCUCCCGGGGUGGGAGAAAAACUCGACCCCGUCUAGGAGGUAGAUCACAAAAGGCUGCUGUCAAUCUCCUAGCCACAAACUAAUUGGUUGAGCAAACUUCUUUCGGCGUCUAUAGACACGCAAGGUUGGUGGUCUGGGUAGAGGAAGAUCUUGUUGACUCCUAUAAUGCUCCAACAAGUCAAGAUCAAGCUAUUGAAGUGUCUCUUUGGAAAUCCAAGUACAAUCAGAAUUAGGACGGCCCUCCCAACGAACAAGGAAGCGCUGAAUGUCUCCAUCCUUGGUUAAUAUAGUAUGUGCAUCUAGACUAGCAUCAAUUUUAUCUUUAUGUGCUGCAGCAGGUGGAAUUGGGGCACGGAUAACAUGUUCAGGAUGAGGGUCUAGAGAUGGAGGUGUGAAAGGAUCAUCAGCGGGGUGAAAUUGACCUUUGUAAGCAAGUCUUCAACAUUAAAGGUAGGGUGGUAGCCAAAAUGUGAUGGUAAGUCAAUGACAUAAGCAUUUGGACCAACACGCUUUAAAAUUUUAAAAAGACCAGCACUACGAGCUUGCAAUUUGGAAGCAGGCCCAGAUGGAUGCCGUUCCGGUCUAAUUCGAAUCAUAACAUAAUCCCCAACAUUAAAUUCAACAUGGCGUUUGUGCAAAUCAGCUUGAAGUUUAUAUAAUGCAUUACUCGUUUCUAGCUGUUUAUUGAUCUCAAUAUGCAAAUCACACAGAUGUUGUGCAAAAGACUCAGCUGACACAGACACACUAGCAUGUGGAGACAUAGGAAUAAGGUCUAACUGCUUCCUAGAGUUGAAACCAUGAACAACCUCAAAAGGACUCAUACCUAUAGACCAAUUCACUGAACUGUUAUAUGCAAGUUGGGCAGCAAGAAGAAUUAAAUCCCAAUUUCUAAGAUUUUCUGGACUAGACAUCUUAAUAGAUUACCAAGACUACAGUUAACAACCUCAGUUUAACCGUCCGUUUGUGGGUGGUAUACAGUAGAGAAUUUCAGUUUAGUGCCAACCAUACUCCAUAGGGUUCGCCAAAAAUGGCUAGUGAAGCGAACAUCCCUAUCCGAGACAAUGGUUUUAGGGAGGCCAUACAGCUUGACGAUCUCAUGGAAGUAUAACUUAGCAACCUUAGCUGCAUCGGAAGUCUUGUUACAAGGAAUAAAGUGUGCCAUUUUCGAGAAGCGAUCUACGACAACAAAAAUGGAGUCGCGUUUCUUUGGAGUAUGUGGCAACCCUAACACGAAAUCCAUACUAACGUCUUGCCAAGGACAACUAGGGAUGAGGAGAGGAGUGUAUGCCUUUUGUGCUUAGAUCGUUGACAGGUGUUACAUGUGCUGACAAUCUUGGCCAUGUCGGUCUUUAAACUGGGCGAACAGAAUUGACAUUCAAUUUCCUCUAUGGUCUUAUCAUGCCCAAAAUGUCAAGCCAACCCACCAGCAUGACUUUUCCACACUAUAAAGUCUCGCACUGAAGUCCUUGGGAUGCACAACUUAUUAGAUCUAAAAAGAUAACCCUCCUCCAAACGGAAAGGAUCAGUGGUGUCCAACUCCCCAUUUUGCAAAGCAAGAAAAAUGUCUCUGAAAUGAGGACAUGACUCGUACUCUUCCUUAAGUCUUUCAAACCCUAAAACCUUAACACUCAUGACGGACAACAAGGAGAUGCGACGGCUUAAAGCGUCGGCAACUCGAUUUUCAACACCCUUCUUAUGCUUUAAGACAAAAGAAUAGGCAUGCAAAUAUUCGAUCCAGCGGCCAUGUCGAGAAUUCAAGCGUCUCUGGGAAUUAAGGAAACAAAGGGCCUCAUGGUAAAAAAAGAGGACAAAUUUGUGGGGUAAUAAGUAAUGACGCCAAUAGCGCAAGGCUUGUACAACUGCGUACAACUCCUUAUCAUAAGUCGAGUACCGUUGCUUGGCAUCAUUUAAUUUCUCACAAAAAUAAGCAAUAGGAUGUCUUUCUUAACUCAAGACUCCACCUAUUCCUACCCCUGACGCAUCACAUUCAACCUCAAAAACUUUGGAAAAAUCUGGGAGUCGCAUGAUAGGAGCCUCUAUCAUUCGCCUUUUGAUAAACUGAAAGGCCUUAGCCGCUUCCUACGUCCAAUUAAAUUUUCCUCUCUUCAUACACUCUGUGAUAGGAGCCAUGAUCAUACUAAAUCCCUUGAUGAAACGACGAUAAAAGGUAGCUAAACCAUGAAAAUUCCUAACAUCAUGUAUAUUCUUGGGAUCCGGCCACUCAACAAUUGCUCGAAUCUUUGCAGGAUCAGCAGAUACCCCCGUAGCGAAAACAACAAAUUCGAGAAACACAAUUGUAUCUGUGAAGAAAGAGCAUUUCUUUACAUUAGCAUACAAGCUUGUUGCACGCAAUUUAUAGCAAACUUGUGUGAGAUGAUCUCGAUGUUGUUCCCUUGUUUUGCUGUACACGAGGAUGUCAUCAAAGUAUAUGACAAUGAAUUUGCCCAUGAAAGGCCGAAGGGCCUGUGUCAUCACCCUCAUAAAAGUACUUGGAGCAUUGGUUAGUCCAAAAGGCAUUACCAACCACUCGUAGAGACCAUCUUUCGUUUUAAAUGCAGUUUUCCACUCGUCUCCUGGGCAGAUCCGAAUCUGAUGAUACCCACUCUUCAAAUCGAUUUUGGAAAAGAUUGUGGCACCGGCCAUCAUAUCUAGCAUAUCAUCAAGUUGCGGGAUGGGAAAACGAUACUUGACAGUGAUUUUAUUGAUAGAGCGACUAUCAACGCACAUCCUCUAAGAACCAUUCUUCUUAGGUGUCAAAAGGGCGGGCACUGCACAAGGGCUUAAACUUUCAUGGAUAAAGCCUUUGUGAAGGAGUUCACCCACUUAUCUCUGGAGCUCGACAUGUUCAGCAGGAUUCAUUCUAUAGUGAGGCAAGUUUGGGAGAGACGAACCUGGAACCAGAUAUAUAGCAUGUUGAAUAUCCCGUAAGGAAGGCAAUAGAUCAGGAAGGUCGUCAGGAAAUACAUCCUUAAAUUCCUGAAGGAGUGAUUGGGCUUCAGUAGGGGUCGUUAUUGGGGAAUCGAACGGGAUUUCCAUAACAAUCACAGCAAAUACAAUUGAGUCAUUUACGAUUGUCUGUUCAAAUUCUGCAGGGCUAAUCACGUGUAAUCCUUUCCUCUCGAUAAUUUUUUUGGCUUGGUGUAAGUCAACAGAUUUUGGUGGUAAAGGAUUAAGGUUAAUCUUCUUUCCAUUAAAUACAAAAGAACAUGAAUUUGAUCGCCCAUGGAUAGUUACAUCCAGAUCGAACAACUAAGGUCGACCAAGAAUGACAUGUCCAACAUCCAUAGGGAUGACGUCACACCAUUUAUGAUCCUUAUAUUCAAGGAAUUGGAUAGGCACCAGACAACGCUCUUUCACAGCUAUAGAAGAAGUGUCAACCCAAGAGACGCUAUAUGGUUGGGGGUGUGGGAUUGACUUCAAUCCAAGACGGGAUACUGUGACCACAGAGACCUCAUUAAUAUAGCUCCUACUGUCAACAAUAAUCUUACGACCCUUAUUGUUGAUCUUGAUGUAAGUAUGAAAAAUGGCAUGACGGCGCCAAUCAUCAACAUCCUUAGAUUGGGUAAGGGUACAACGUACAACACUCAACCGAGAUGUGUCGGGGGACAGAUAAGUAGAACCUAAACCUACAGGAAGGGUAUGAAGGCAACCUAAGAAGGUAUCCUCAUUAUCACCCAAAUCGUCAAACUCUUCAAAGUUAGGCUCAUAGAUUUGAUCGUCUAAAGGCUCAUCAACGACAUCCUUUCGCUCGUCAAUAACUAAGGCUCGACUCAGACAUCUAGAGGAGAUAUGGCCGAAACCCUAGCAAUUAAAGCAUUGCAAACGAGAAGAGGUUCUUGAAGUUUUUGGAGCUUUACCUUUACUGUCUAAAGUAGGGAGUGCGUUAGACGGUGGGGGUCUAAGAAGAGAUUUGGUGGGAGGAGGUGGUGCUGAUGAAAUGGAUGGACGAUUAUCACUACUCCUUCCAUACGGAGUCUUAGUAAUCAACUCGUAAUCUCGAACUAAGGAAUAAGCGUGAUCAAGAGUGGUGACACCUCGAAGGACAAGCUCACGCCAAAGAUCAUCUCUUAGGCCUUUUCUGAACCUACUUAAAGUCAUAGCUUCAUCCUCGAAGAUGUGGCAUCGCAUUCAGAAUUCAUCAAAUUGAGUAACAUAGUCAGUCACUGGAUGGUUUCCUUGUGUGAGGGUAUUCCACUGGUCCAACAAGUUGCUCCUAUAAGAGUGAGGUAAAUACUUCUCUUGAAGGCGACACUUCAUUUCCUCCCAACCUCCAACGGGAGGUGCAUGACGCCUCUCAAGAAGGUCCUCAACGCUUUCCCAAAAGAGUUGGGCAAUACCAGUUAAUUUCAAACUGGCAAAUUGAACUCUUCGGUCCUCUGGGACUCCAUACCAUGAAAAGAAAUGAUCCAUAUCUCUAAUCCAUUGUGUAAAAACUCUAGGAUCUAAACAUCCAUCGAAAGUAGGAGCGUCUAAUUUGAUGUUUCGAAAGUAACACUCCUCAUAGCGAGAAGGUGAGUGAGUACCAUAAUGGUCAUGGUUUCGCUCAUGAUUGCGCUCCUGUUCCCCAUUCCUUGGCCCAUGACGAACACGUUGUCGAUCCCCAUGUCGAUGACGAUAGGGUAUGUUAUGAGACGCUUCAGAGUUAUCAACGUCGGUUGAGGGAGAGUUUUGUUCUAAAUUGUUCACCCUAGCAGCUAGUUCUCUACUAUCUUCACAAGUGGCAGUCACCUCGGUUUGGACGGUUGCUAAUUGAUCAUGUAGUUGAGCUAAUUGCCGAGUAAGGGCAUCAAAUUGAGAAGGGUCCAUAAUCACAGUAUUGGAAUUGGGUGUGAGAAAACGACCACUAGCAAAUGCAUGCAAUGUAACACUAACUGAAUGCAGUAAAUUCAAAUGUGUCAAGCUAAUACUGUUGAUCUAUGUAAAAUAAUAAAGCAAGGGCCAAACACUAGUCAACGACAUAAGUACGUAAAAUAAAUGGGGAUGGUAAAGGUAAAAAUAUGACAAGGAGAGUUAAUCACGUGAAUUUUAUGUAAAGGCUGCAGCACAAAAGCUAAUUGAUACAAUUCAAGAUAAACAACAAUAUAAACUGAGGAUGAAUAAAAACAAUGACUUCCCCUUUGUUCGUUUGAAGAAGCCGUGUCCAAUCAACUGGAAUGAAAGAGAUACCUGAAAAUGAUGUUAAAAAUAUAUAUAUAAUAAUAAUAACUUCUUCUUUUUUACUCUUUUUUUUGUUUUUUACAAACAAAGUUACUAAACACUAUACAAACAAACAAGGUAUGACCGAGCCCAAAUCGCAAAUUAGCGUAUAUAAUAACAGAGGUCCAACACUCUGAGACAAAUCACGUUGGUAGCGUCUGGAUUGCCUGAUUUCUGGGACAAUCAGCUUCUAUUGGAGAUGGAAGGCUCGAUUGGUGACUCUUAUGGUGAACGUUGAGAAGCGGUUCAGAUUAUUGUUGGAUUUCUUGAUCACACGGUCGCGACUUGCAGCGGUGGUUUGUGGAAGAGUAAGGUCACUGGAGCAACUGUGUAUGGAUUGUUGGCGUGGAAAUGGUGUUUUGACAGUGGUAGUAUAUAUAUGUGUCGACGACGGAACUUGAGUGGUGGUGUGGGUGUCGUCCGGGGGUGGGGGCACUGCAGCGUGGGUUUUCUGUGGUGUUGUAAAUGCCAUCAAUGAAAUUUCUGUGGGUUUUCGUCCAUGAUGGAAGAAAGUCGACCGGGGUUAGUCAGAAACAAGGAUGACUUUAUGGGCUCUGUAGAUGACGGUAUGUGGGUUGUUGAAUUCUGUAGCUUGGAUUGUGGUUGAAGUAUACAAUUACUGGUCAUAUGUCAUGGGUUACCAGCAGAUUGGUGGGGUGUGUGUCUUGAUUGUGUGUAACUGGGGUAGUUUCAGAAGUGGAUGAAGAUGUGGGAAGUGUGGUCAGUUUUUUUUUUUUUUUUUUAAGUUCCUGGGUGUUGAAAGUUGAUGGUUGCAAUGGGUGAAGGUUACUGUGGUGGCAAUUUGGAAUUAGAUUUGGUAUAAUGGGUCUCAAAAUAUUUGUAUAGAAGUCAUUGGCUGCAAUUUGGGUGUUAAGUGUAUAUGCAAUGGGCUAUUGGACUUUUGGAAAUGCGUUGGUUUUGUCGUGUUGAAGAUAAUGGUGAGAAUUGCGGUUUGCAGUUAUAGAUAUAUUGGACAAACAAUUACAGUCGCCGCUCUCUCUGAUCAUUGACCCCAGAUUUAUCUUAAUAACUUUACAGAGUUUGCGGAAGAAGAAUUCAGCAGCCUGCCGAUUAGUUUGGAGAGAUGCUAAUGCUAGGAAUAGUGGGAGUUUAACUGGUAUUAUUGAACAGCAAUUUCCAUAACUCAUGAUUGCAGUUGGCUUGUCAAACCAGGUUUGGCUCUGAUACCAAAAAUCUGAUGUAAGAUAGUUGAGAAUUUUAGAAGUUAGAACAUUAGAAGACAAUCAAAUUGAAAUAACCAGCAGAAGAAGACAAUUGGAAAAGAAGAAGCAGACAAAAUGAGGGUCAGAGAAGAAGAAGAAAGGGAUAGGGGAGAAACCGAGAGGAGAGAGGAGAGGGGAGGAAGAAAACAUAGCAAACAAUAAUUCAAUUUAUUCAUCAACUACCAUUCAAUCCCAAUUACAAUAACAUAAAUAACAAAAUAAUAACUUGGGCUUGGGCCAAACCCAUAUACAAGCCCAAUGAGACAUAAGCCCAAAAUAAAUAAAAGAUAAAAUGGGGAUGGGAUGAUGUCCGCAUCAACUCCAAAAAUCUGAUGUAGGAUAGUAGAGAGUUUUAGAAGUUAGAACAUUAGAAGACAAUCAAAUUGAAAUAACCAGCAGAAGAAGACAAUUGGAAAAGAAGAAGCAGACAGAAUGAGGGUCAGAGUAGAAGAAGAAAGGGAUAGGGGAGAAACCGAGAGGAGAGAUGAGAGGGGAGGAAGAAAACAUAGCAAACAAUAAUUCAAUUCAUUCAUCAACUACCUUUCAAUCCCAAUUACAAUAACAUAAAUAACAAAAUAAUAACUUGGGCUUGGGCCAAACCCAUAUACAAGCCCAAUAAGAUAUAAGCCCAAAAUAAGUAACUAAAAGACAUAAGCCCAAAAUAAAUAAAAGACAAAAUGGGGAUGGGAUGAUGUCCGCAUCAGAAUCUUUCGUCGCUCAUCUAACACCUUAUAGGGACAGUGAUUUAAUUGAUAUGUAAAUGAAAUAGAUAUUAUCGCAGAUAUCUUGCGUCUAAAAAUCUUGAAAAACUUGAGCAACUAAUAGAAUUUUUUCAUUUCUAUCCCAUUUUAUCCCUAAGAAAUCACCCAAGAAUUCAAGUUAUUGCGCUGCAAAAUUUUGGAAUUUCUAAAUGUUUCAAGAAGUGUAUUUGGUCCAAUUCAUAUUGUUGUCCACACGGAGGUUGCUCGCAAAUCCCAUAACCAACGUCAGCCCCUCAAUUUCCAGAACACUAUCCAUCUUUGAAUUUUCCAUUUGCAAACCUAUCCACAAUCAAGCUCGCGACUAAACCCAUCAUCACGCUAGCCUUGUCAGUCAUAACAUGCACGUCCUGACCACCAGCUCAUGAAUCUUGCCCAUCGCCAUUUGUUGUAUUUUGACCAAAAUUCUAGUUGGUAUUAGAGUUUUAGUUGAAGUGUUGUUGAAGAGAUCAAAGUAAUGAACAGGGAAGAAAAGUCGUCACAUUUUCGCUAACAUACCACUAGUUGGCCAAUCGAACACUAGGCAAACUUUUGGAGCAGGGAGCUGUUACCCGUCUAUUGCUUAGCGUCAUCUGGGAUUUUCUCCUUUUGUCUGUUUCACGUAUAUAUUAACCUACUUACCAACUUUUAGUUUAUUUAUAUGGUUUCGACAUAUCCCCUAUAAAGAAUAGACUCUUCAUUUAGUUUAGAAGAAUUGUUGAAAUUGGUGUGACUAUUAUUUUCCCCAUUAGUUGUCAAAUAAAAUACUCGACUCCUCAAUCAAUCUAUUUCUUGCUUUUAAUCUUGUUUUCUAUAUGCAAUCAUAAACUUCACAUUGUGUCAUAUUCGCCUCCUUCAUCUCCAACAAGUGGUAUUGGAGUUAUUCUAUUUCAAUAAAUUAGUUUUAGAUAUAACUACAGAAAAAGUGGAUUUUUACGGCAUGCAUUUAUGACAUGCCGAGAAAGAAAACUAUUUACGGCAUGCGCUAUAUGUAUGUUGUAAAAAAACCAAUAAAUCUACAUAUUUACGGCAUGCAUUUGUGCACAUCGUAAAAUAUGAAUAUUUACGGCGUUCUUUUAGGGCAUGUCGUGUUUGUUAAAAAAAGUGAACUUAUUACGGCGUGCAUAUGCACGCCUUAAAUGCAUCAACUUAUUACGGCGUGCAUAUGCACACCGUAAAUGCCCUUUUUUCCCGCUCUUACUUACCUUAUUUCGUUUUGUCCCAAUUGUUUUCCACCUUUUACGAAACAGGGCCGGCAUCUUUCGUCAAGGUAAUUUCUAUUCUCUUCAAUCCAUUCCAUUUCUAGGUUUUUGCUUCUUCUGAAUCUGUAAUCUGAAAGAAAUACUCAUAUUAUCAUCGAAAUAUUUUUUGUAUCUAUCAAUCCCCUCUAAAUUACUCAUCCUCCGCAUUUCGAUUCAAUUCCCCCUCAUUUCUGUAGAUCUUCGCUAUGUCAUAUUUGUUUAAUAAUUCUGAAUUUCAUAAUUUAGGGUUUUAACAGAGAGACUGAGCGCAAGUCUGGCGAUUGACGCCGGAGAAAGGUGAUGGCAGAUCCCCUUGAUGCAUAAAUAUCUAUUUUUUGCUUUCUUUGGGUUAGGGUUUGAAGGAAUGGUAGCAGGAGAAGAGUUUGCAUAAUUGAAAUCUAGAGAGCUUUGUGAAAAAUGCUGAGUGUGCUUUGGUUGCACCUUCCAUCGGACAUUCCGAUCGUGGGGUGCGAGCUAACGCCCUACGUGAUCUUGCAGCGGACCAAUAAUUCUUUCAUCCCAACUGAGGAUGUAACUGAGUUCAAUCCGCUUGAUGGCCAGUUCUUGGAAUACUGAUGGAUAGUUUCUUACAAUUAUUUUUUUUGUAUUUUUUCUUGUCGAAAAUAGAUGGGAGGUUGUAAAGUUGUGUGUUUUUUUUGUUGCUUGAGAGUUGAUAUUUUACGGGGUUUACUCUUUCUUUUAGGGUGUUUUCUGCUGAACUAAACAAGCAGAACUAGAAGAUUUUGAUUGAGUUUUUCAAUUUUGAAUUGUUCUGGAGUUUUUGAUGUUUGUGCAGAUGGAUUUGUUUGGCAGCCGGAGAUAAAAAUGGUAAAAAAAACUGAAUUCAAAUGUGUUUUACUUCCCACAGGGGCACGCCAAGCACGCCUUAGGAAAUGUAGAUUUUAGGAGCUGCCCUAGAGUUCCGGCUUAUAUACCUUGUAGAGUUUCUACAAUUCAAUUCAUGGCGGAUCCUGAGACUGAUGAGGUUUUUACGAAAAUGCGAUUGGUUCCCGUUAAUGGGAAUGAGGCUGAUUUUGAUGAAAGUGGGGUUGUUGGGAUGAAUGGUUCGGAUAAUCCUGACAAACAGGAUGGAGUACUUUUGUGAUCCACAAGAAGCUCGUGGCAGGUUAUUCAGUUGUGUUUCUGAGGGCCGAAAAUGGGGAUCUUUGAAUUGGAAUCUGGCGGGCGAAGAGAGGAAUUGAUGGGGGACUGGAAACGCCAUCCCAGUGGAAUCCGGCAGGUGGCAGUUGCUUCAUCCCAUAUGGAGGGUUUUUAGACUUCCUGAGGGAAGAUGAGAAUAGAUUGACCAGAAAUGGUAGUGGAAAUUCAGGCAGGAAUUUAAUUGGCCAGGGAAAAGUGAAGCCCGAAUCAGUUAUUGAAGCUGCAACUCUUGCUGCCAGUGGAAAACCUUUCGAGGUGGUUUAUUAUCCUUGAUCUGGCACUUCCAAGUUUUGUGUGAAGGCGUCUCUUGUAAAGGCGGCAUUGUAAAUUCGUUGGUGCUCCGGCAUGAGGUUCAAGAUGGCCUUUGAAACGGAGGAUUCUUCACGAAUAAGUUGGUUCUUGGGAACCAUAACAUCAGUUCAGGUUGUUGACCCCAUUCGCUGGCCGGAUUCACCUUGGAGACUUCUCCAGGCAAUGCAGUUAGUGUUAAAUACGUCUUGUGAAUCGGGUUAUAGAUAUUUCUGCUGGAAGUUUUAUUCUUUCUGGCUCUGCACAAAUUUCUGCUCAAGCACGAUGUUCCAAGGGCAAUUGAAUAAAAUCUUGUAUGCUACAACCUUGUGAUAAUGCUGUUAUAUUUUGGAUUUGCAUGAUAUUUCCCACAAGUUUACCAGAUAUUUUAGGAUUAAUCUUCUUCUCUCAGUAUGUACUCUGUUAGCUUUUUUUAACCAAUUGUACUGAUCAGAAUUUUCAGACUAUUUUUUGCUUCCUAAGUCUAUUGUGCUGAAGACUAUUGUUGUUAUUAUAUAUUCUCAUGUAUGGGAGAAGUUUAUAACUUGAACUGUUGGUUGAACUUAUAUCUGUUGGUUGAGGGAAUGGAAAGUAUUGUUACAUUGGUUGGUACAUUUUAUUUAUAUGAUAAAUGUUUGGGUUAAUUUUUCAUCUAAGAUUAGAAUAAUUAAUUAGUUUAAUGUUCUUUAUAAUGAUAGCUUAUACUCAAAAAUAUUUUAAUUUUCAUCUUAGUUGACUUGGAAUUGGAUUUAUGUAAUUUUAUAAGCACUGGUAAUCAAAUAAAUAAACAGAUUUUUAAAAAUUAAAUUAACAUUUACGGUACUGACGGCAAUGGGGCUUGUUCGGGGCUGGUCGUUCUUGCCCCGCCCCGCCUCUCCCACCCCACGCCCCGCCCCGCCUUCGACGGGGCGGGGCGGCGGGGCAAUUUUCUUGUCCUGUUUCUUGCCCCGUUUAAUUUUUUUUUUAAUUCCGAGUUUAAUAAAAUACGGAUAACAUUCAAGUUGAAUUUUUAAUAAAGAAUGCCCUUACUUUAUGUAAAUUUAAGUUUUUGUUUUGGGAUAAAAUUAUUUAUGAUGUAAAAUGAUUUUUAGAGAAUGUGUGAAUAAAAAGUAUGAAAAAAUUAUAGAUCUACAUGUAAAUUAUGUUAUUAAAAAAAUUGUGAUAGAAAAUAAGUUUAAAUAAAAAGCGAUUUUGAAAUAUGUUGCAUAGAUGAACUCUAUAUAUAUAUAAUAAGAAAAUAAUAAUAAUUCACGGGGUGGGUUCGGGGAGGGGCAUCCCCGCGCCCCCCGACGGGGCGACCAUUUAUGCCCCGCCCUGUGCCCCGCGACGGGGUGGGUUUUUUUUGCCCCAUUCGGGGCGGAGUGGGAUGGGGUAAAUUGCCAUCACUAAUUUACGGUGUGAAAAAGCAAGCUGUAAACGCUAAUAGGGUCAUCUUUCACGGCGUGCGACAACUAAAAACUCGCAUUUACGGAAUGCAGGCGCAUGCCGUUAAAAGUAAAAAACUCGCAUUUAUGACGUGCACCUGCACGCCGUAAAAAAUCGUAUAAUUAAUAACGACAUUCGUAAACGACAUACAUUGCACACUAUAAAAAGGUGUUUUACGGGAUGCAAGUCCUUUUUGUUGCAUCUGUUGUGCAAGUAUAACCAAUGUGGCCACCUUUUGUGCUACUUCAAGAUGUUAGAAGAUUUGUCUUAGUUCAUGCCUAUGGUUUCCAUUAUCAAUCAUGGCACAAUGACAGCUAACUUGUCCUCAUUGAUACAUUGUUAGAAGCGUAGACUAUGCUAUAAUACCAACUGAUACGGGUGGAAGCUAGACGAUAACAAAUACGAGAUUAAAAAGGAAAAUGCGUGCACGAAUUAACCAUUUAGGUGGAUAAUAGAAGAAAAAUCUCAAACUUUCUAUUCACUUUCAAUCCUACAACACAAUUAUAACACCAAAUUACUCCUAAGUAGACAAAAAAUAAUAAUAAUGAUAAUAAAAAAAAAAUAAAUAAAUAAAAAUUCCAGAAAACUUAAUAUUUUGAUUAAACUCCUAAUCCUAGUAAAAAUCUUACUAAACAUAAAAUGACAAAAAACUAAUAAAUCAAAGUAAUAAAAAUAAAAAAUAUAUAAUCUUAAAUUAAAGAUUUUUCAUUUCAUAUGUAAAUGUGAGACGCCAACUUUUGAAAUUUCAAUAGGUCUAUGUCUUGUUUAAGCAAUAGAAGCAACCAGUGUAACUGUUAAAGAUGAUAUCUGAUUGAAUAGUAAACCAAUGGAUUUUUUAACCAAUCCAAUCUAAUGCGAGCCAGAAUCAGUAUUUUCUAGUCAAAGCUAUGAGGCAUGCACCAAUUUCAUAAUUAUGGGUGGCUAAGUACUUCAACUACAUUUGCAUGACAUGAUACCAUUUUAUACCACAUUAUUUUUAAACUUUUAAUAUAUUGAACAGAGUAUUUACUCGACAAGACAGUGUUGGAUAGGAAAACAACUAAUUUCUCACAUGUUUAAGGUGAAAACCUUAGACACAAAAUAGAGAAACCAAGCCAUCUCUCACUGAGGGCGCUAUUGCAUUCACGACUUGUACUAUCCACAGUUCCACAUUGACUCUCAAAAUGAACAUAUUCAAUUGUAUUCACUGACUAUUGAAGAUCAAAAGAUUUGCUGAAAACAACACGAGAUACUAGAAUACUUUCAGUUUUGUGCCAUCCUUGUGUUCACAUUUUCCUGCGUGAUCAUCGUUGUUUCAACUCUACAUCAUCCCCUGCCCCCUACCAUCUUCACCAGAAGCUACUUCACAAACGCAAACCGGAGAAAAAACAUGUGAUAAAUCAGUGUACCAUUCGCCCCUAGUUUUGUUCGAUCCUUUGUAUCACACUUCUCGAUUAUUUGCAUCCAUAUUGGAGCUACAAUUUUCUACCUAAUAAUUUCCAUUACUGCCCAAUUAAUUCGUACCUUCUCUGAAGAACGUUCUCUCUAAUAAUUUUUACUGUGGUUUUAGCCUAUUAAUAUCUUUAGCUUUCAAUACAAAUCUAGCUAAGCGAUUGAGCUCAGUAGCCAAAAACAUCAAAGCUUCGUCCCCAGUAGCAUGUUGUGUGUGUGUGUGUGUGUGUGUGUGUGUUCAAGAGAGAGAAGAUAUUAGAAUACCUCGAGCUAGAAUAAUGGAAGAGUUUUCCAGUGGCAGAAAAAAAAUUAGGGCAAUCUCAGCAUCACAAAGAGUGGAGAGUUCUUGAGCCUUCUUAAAAACCCCUCUUCUUCUCUUUGAAAAGGUCACUUGGCGUGCAGUCAAGUUAUCAAUCUUCUUGAUCUGAAUCUUCUGUCUCA